rnacentral:lncRNA from 1 species
UCUCUCUCUCCUCCUCAUCAUGAGUGGUUAUCAGUGGCACCCUGGUGUCUUUGUGGCGGCUUGCUGACGUGUUGUCGCUUGCCAUGCUGACGGCACGACAAGCAUUGAAGAAGUUGGAGACCUUGCUGGGAAUGAGAGCUUGGUUCCAACGGUGCCGAUUAUUGUUGUCCGCCGGGUAUCGCUGGACCGACCGCAACGCCUUCCUUCUGGUGUCAAUGGUGAGGAGCCAUGCCGUCCUGUCCCCCUCGCCAUGAGGGUGGUGCCUGGACUCACACGCAAGGAAGCAAAACACGUCGGGGUCAUCAAGGCUGACGACGGGGAACUCCAGCCGGACACGUGGGAUGACAGGCGCCACCACGGCCCAGACCUCGUCACUGUCUAUCAUGCCGUCCUCCUCCCAUGUCAUGACGUCCAUCCUCAAGGUCCAGGUGGUGAUGGUAAAGGCGUGUCUGGAGCGCGUGCACCACGUCACGCUAGGCUCGCCGCAACAGCAACGAGGUGAGACCCUGACGAACUUCACCACUGAGCCAUCGCCGGUGACGCACACACUCCGGGAGGCAUCAGGUAUCCCGUCCUUGCGGCGGCGGUCGCGGUCGUGGUCAACGAGCACAGGGUCAGUGGGCAGAGGCACGUGCCACACCUCUUGGCUUUGUGCAUUCAGGUCGGAGAAAAUGAUGCCCUGGGACAGAUCGAUCCAGUACAGGAACCGGUCGCCGACGGGGAUGACCUCGCCGGUCUCCCAUCGGGAGAGCUGCGUCUCCUGGCCGUUAGCGUAGAGGACGGGGAGGAAGUCCGUGAACUCCCACUCGUGCCUUCCGGAGCGGAGCAUGUGGAACCUUGUUUUGACAAACCCGCCGUACGAGUACCUGAGGUCCAGGGUCGCCACCACGAACUCGCCGCCGCCGCCGCCGUGGCUCAGGAUGCCGGUGCUUGUGUGGUAAACAUUCCUGCCGCAAGGAGGAAGAAGCGAAAGGGACGGCGGCCGGGCGGCGCCGUCACCGGCGUUGUAGACGAAAAGGUCGGGCGGUUGGUACAAGUGAAUGAGCACGGAGUCCCCAUGGGCCGCGACGACGAAUGGAGUCGCCCAGGAACUCUCCCCUAUAUCCGCGAUUUCGACGUGCAGGGUCGACACCGCCGGGGGCUUGGCGAGACUGAAGGAGGCCUGGACAGGACGGCCGGUGGAGCUAAGGCAGUGCGCCCGCGUACGGGCGUCGGCGGUGGAGGGAUCCUGGCACCCGCUUCCACGGUCGAGGUUGUGGAUCCAGAAUUUCAGAUCGGGAAAGGGCAGGAAUGUGUUCGUCUUUUAUCAACCAGUGCUGGACAUCCAACGGUGAUUAGUCAAUUCAGAAUAUAAUCAACAUGGAACUAGGAAACAAAAAUCUCUGCUUUUACAGCUAUCCGUCGGGGCCAAAUGCCUGGCUUCUUCGAACCCUAGGUCUUGUUUUUCUCCUUUUCGGGAUAAACCCUAGGUCUCGUCGAUUAACUUCAACAAGGUUUGGUUCUCUAUAUAGGACUUGGGGUCGUUUGGAUCGUAUUUCCGAGCUAGCUGCCAAGCCAAAAAAAUAUAUUCAGCAAGCAUUCGUUGUUUCCUGUCGCCAAUUUUUUGGCUCGCCGAUGCUUUGGCACGGUCACCGUGGGUUACAUCCAAACACACCUUUAGUGGUCACUGCUAUUGUCUUCUUCACCUUCGGUGCUUUGACGAUACGACGACUCAAUGAACAAUAGCGGGGAUUUGGUGAUGGAGAAAAUCUCCUUUUGAUUUGGUUGUAUUUCCAUCUUUAGUCAAGGUAUUUUCUGCAAUUUAGGGGCAGUUAUUAUCACAUGUGUGGAUGUAACCAAGGUAACAAUCAAGUGAGUUAGAGACGAGAGCUGAAUGUGUAUACAUUCAUUUUUAUUUUAUUUUGAACACAAUAUAGACGCGAGCGCUCAUACAUACGCACAUACACUCACCCCUAUGAACGCACAUACUCUCACGGCAUAAGGAGUGACCCUAACGACAUCCCAUAUAAUAGUAGACAACACGUUUUAAAUCAGACUGGACUGAAUGAAGAAAGGUCUUUCCACACAAGAGUGGAAGGGAUCUCUACCCCUAUAAGCACCUUCAAAGAGACUAAGCCGGUAUAUCAUCUUGAGAUUUACAAAGUCACCGUUAAAUCUGAGAACAGUUUUUAAAAAACUGAUUAAAAUGGUUUGGUUUUUACUCUAGGCUUAAUUGGUUGAGGUUUUAUUGGGUUGAGUUUUUUUUGGUUCAAGUUUGGUUUGGGUACAUAGAAAAGCCAGUUUGGGUAUAAUUGGUUACGGGCUUAAAGAGUUUAGGCAUAACCGCUGAAAACUAUGGGUUCCAACCCGGUUCUUUGCCCCGGAGCGCAACUGAGAAAACAAAAGAACAGCCCCAUCGAGGGGUCGAGGCGUCGAGCUAAACCUACUCGUUCCCGAGCGGCCGAGCCAAUCCACCGCUGCCGCCGCCGCCGACUGCCAACCACCGCCUCGUCUCCCUCAUAUCUCGCCGGCCUACACCCUCUCACUCUCCCCCUCUCCCUCCCCUCACAGAUCAGUGCGCCCCCUCCUCCUCCAGCUCGCCUUCCUCGCCCCUUCCUCGACGUCCUCGUCGACGGCGUCGUGCAUCAUCCGGCUGGCGCGCGCCGGGGCCAGCGCCGCGCCGGCUUACCCGGCCGUCUAUCUCAACCCCUUCAUCGUCACGCACCCGGUCGAGGGGUGCAGGGCCGGCCCUGGGGAGGGGCNNNNNNNNNNNNNNNNNNNNNNNNNNNNNNNNNNNNNNNNNNNNNNNNNNNNNNNNNNNNNNNNNNNNNNNNNNNNNNNNNNNNNNNNNNNNNNNNNNNNNNNNNNNNNNNNNNNNNNNNNNNNNNNNNNNNNNNNNNNNNNNNNNNNNNNNNNNNNNNNNNNNNNNNNNNNNNNNNNNNNNNNNNNNNNNNNNNNNNNNNNNNNNNNNNNNNNNNNNNNNNNNNNNNNNNNNNNNNNNNNNNNNNNNNNNNNNNNNNNNNNNNNNNNNNNNNNNNNNNNNNNNNNNNNNNNNNNNNNNNNNNNNNNNNNNNNNNNNNNNNNNNNNNNNNNNNNNNNNNNNNNNNNNNNNNNNNNNNNNNNNNNNNNNNNNNNNNNNNNNNNNNNNNNNNNNNNNNNNNNNNNNNNNNNNGGCCCCCCUCAAGGUGCGCAGGUAGCCUAGGCGAUGCAGGGACGCAAAAACGUACGCUCAGAUUACCAUUCAAUCAAUAGGUAGGCAUGCACGUAGUAGCCCACGAGGCCACGACCAGUUCUCCCUUUCUCGCGAUUGCAGGGGCCAAGGGAGCUAAUUUUCGUGUUUUGACCCUUUUGUGAAAGUUAGCCCAGAUCUAACCCUAAUUUAAAAAAAAAUUGGGAUCUGACCCUUUUCCUACCGUCGAGGUCGAUAACGGUAGGGUAUAACUGCCUACCGCCGAGGCCUCCGGCGGUAGGACAUAACUGCGUCGUCAUGGUCGUCUGAUAUAAAAAAUACCCUACCGCCAGAUCUUUUGGCGGUAGGAUGUGCAACCCUACCGCCAAAGAUGACGGCGGUAGGUUGUCCAACAUGCGUCGAUACAAUCUUUGCUCCAUAUUAUUUAACUGAUGAUAGUGCUAGUACUAUACUGAUAUAUGUUUGCUUAUUCAAACUCUAGGCCAUCCAUCCGGCAUGGCAGCACGCAUGCAUGCAUGCACCAGUGAGCUACUCCUGCCACUGGGUCGCACGUUGCAGCCUUAUGUCUGUUGGUGUUUACUAUGUAUGGUGCAUGCAUGCAUCCAUGCAUAUUUCUUAAUAGGAGUAGUACCAUCAGUACUAUAGCCUGUAGCCUCCUGUUCACACGAUCACACGAAGAUUUCUAUCUGUGGCAUGCCUACCGCCAGACUCUUUGGGGUAUGGUUGCACAGCCUACCGCUAAGGGCUUUGGCGGUAGGGUAUUUUUCACAUUAAACAACCGUGACGGCGCAGUUAAGUCCUACUGCCAAGAUCCGUGGCGAUAGGCUGUUAUAUUCUACUGCUACACACUAUGGUGAUAGAAAAAAAAGAUCAGAUCGUAAAUUUUUUACAAAGCAGGGUCAGAUCUGGGCAAACUUUCACAAAAGUGUCAAAACACGAAAAUCGGCCGCCAAGGGGACCCUAUGGUGUAGCGAACAAAGGUAUUGGGCCCAGCCCAGACCAGAGAUGGUAGCACACGACGCCCACGCCAAACUCGAGCCCUAACGCAGCAAGACCAUCGCCUUUGAUGCGGUCGCGGCGGCGGCGACCAUGGAGAAGGAGCAGGCCUAUGGCCUCUCAUCGUGGGGCUGUGGUAAGAAUUGCGUUGCCCUUUUUUGAUCGAAUCCACUGAGGUUCUAUGCAGUCCCUGCCCCUGGUUGUAUGGAUUUUGAGAUUUGUCGUUCCUUGCUCCUGGCUGGAAAAUUUGUAGUCACCAUGAGCAGAAUCCUUUACAUGGUAUUACAAAAUUAGGAGCCGUGCGUUAUUGCUCGAUUAUGAGUUAGUUGUUGCCAUUGUUGAAUCGAAUAGCAAGUCAAGUACCAGCCAAUACGGUGUGUUUACGCAAGGCACAGUUUAUUGUUAUAACUCAGUUAUGAUUGAAACUUAUGAUUUAGUGUAGAAAAUGUUAGUAGCACAAAAUAGGUCCGAAGCACAUGUUGGAUUUUGAGUAAUAAACAUUAUGUAUACUUUGCAAUUCAGAAGCUGGAAAUUGGUAAAUGAAGAAAAUGUAGUGGAGGAUAUAACAGCUACCGAAUCUGAAGCGAGAUGGAUAUAUGUUCUACAUAGUUGUGUUCCUAGAUUCUGAGACGAUGUCUACUGAAAGAAGAUUAACCACUAAGGUGCAUCAAAUUCUCUAAGAACUCGCAUCAAUUCUAUGAUUUCAUAGUGCUGCUGCAAAAACCAUAUCUCAAAGCAUUCAGAUGGUUCCUUCCCUGUGGAAGAUUUAAACUUAAAUCUCCAAUAUCAAAGUGGAUAGAAAAUAUGUAUAUUGUAUAUUAUUUUAAAAAUUAUAUCAAGGGCCCCGGAUUUUAGUUUCGCCCCGGGCCCUCAAAAUUUCAGGACCGGCCCUGGAGGGGUGACAGCGUGGCCAGGAGGAUCAGAGCCUCCUACGGCGACACCUGCGCUUCCUAAGUCAAGUUCGUCGAGGCCGGCGGCGCCCGCACCAUCCCACUCAUCUACAAUGAGUCAACGAGCCCACGAGCGCCUCCUCGAGGUCACUGCCUCCAGAUCCCCACCUCCCUCCCCUUCGUCUCUCAUUUUACUCCAGAAAUUCCUGUUCCUUGGAAGUCAACCCGAAGUAGAUGUACCGGGCAGACCAAGGAUAUACGCAUCCACCUUGCCCCUGCUGGUGCCAUAGCAAAAUUUAGUGGAAGAAAUCCUAUGAAAAUUACUAGAAUGUGAGCAGUUUUAUAUUCUGAACCUAGGUGAGCAUGCGACUUGAGUCCUGCCACCAAUGAAAGAUAUACUGUACUUUACUUUGGCUGGCCAUCUAUUUCUAAUUAAUGAUCAUGAACUGGCUAUGCUCUGGAUUGAUUGUAGUAGCUCUCUAUGAGAGGUCACUGGAAGCUGUAAAGAAAACAUUUGAUCUUUAGAAAAUGUUGCAGAAUUCAAGAACAGAGAAUUGCUAUUGGCUUCUCAAUGUUGCUUGAUUUGGAUUUGAAUUUUAGUGUAAUUAACAGCUAGGUUCUUAAGUGUCCUUUUGUUAUUUCUUUGGCAGUUGUUACAUCGAGGUUCUUAGUUUUCCCAGAUUAAAUGCCUCAGGUGCUGCAUUCUUGAUUAUAUCCUGAUCAUCCAUAUAUGCAAUGGCUAGUGAAGUUCCGAAGUUGGUGGCCAAGUUGGCUCUUUAGAAAAUCCAUCAUCGAUAAAAUGCUAGAAUGCACAAGUUGACAUUUUGUAACGGGCCAAGCAAAUUGUUAUGUUUAUAAGUCUACCUUUUUUCUAAUGUUGCACAAGUUAGUGGCACCUCUUUGGUGUCCUUUCUUUGAUGUGUUAAUUUUACUAGAAAAGGCUAAAGAAUCACAUCCAUGCUCUUGUAUAGUCCAGGUUAUUCACUCUGUCAUACGCACCUACUUUACAUAGUGUACGGCAGCCAUAUGUUGCCAAAAAUUACAUAAACCUGAGAUUUUCUCAAACCUGGGAGAAGUUGGAGCAUGGCAUGAGCAACUAGUGAUCCAGACUCAUAGCUUGAGGUUUUUCAUGUGUAUGGUACAGUCUGCAAUGCAUUAUUUCACCUAGGAAACAAUGUACACCAUAUUUGUUUAGGCCUCUUCUUAGGGGAAACCUGUUUGAUUAAAAUUAUUAACAACUAUUUUUUAAAUUGGCUAGAGAUGACUUGCCAUAUUGUGAAUGAGAUCUCGGUGUCAAUGUAAAGAUAUAUCAUGGUUACAAGUUCUAAAAAUUGUGUCUUUUCAGAUCAAGGUAUGGGCUGACUACUACCGCCAUGAGAAGUCGGUGACUUCCAUCAUCGGCAGAUGGCGUAGCGCAAUCCCGGCUUGGAAUCAAUUAUCACCCUUAAUUCAGCUCCGUUUAUUAUUACCUCUGUACUUAAAGUGUUGGUAGUGCAGAAUAUGUAAGCUGUCAAGGGCAAUAUUUGUGCUUCAGAAUCUGUAUUUUGUACUAGUACAUGUUAUGAAGCUGUCAAGUGUUCAUCAAUUUAAGUGUUGGUAGGGCAGAAUAUGUAAGUUGUCAAGUGCAAUGUCUGUACAUGUUAUUAAGCUGGUGCUAUGUUUUUAGCUAUCAAGUGCAAGAUCGUUCAUAUAUUGAGCUGUGCAUGUAUGGGUGGGGAACUGAUAUAGAACCAUAGGCUAAAACCAUAGUUCCUAGAAUGGGUUAGUUUGGUUUUGGGGAAUUUUUCAUGUGGUUUAGUUUGGGUUGGGUGCCAAUGCCAAUUACGUGGGGUUAGUUUGGUUCAGUUUCCAAAACGUCAUCACGUGGGUUCAGUUCAGGUUUGGUUUGGUUACCCACCCAUUCUCAGAUUUAGUCACCGUAGGCACCUCAUCGUCGACGGGAACGUCUCCUCUCAUUGAAAGCGCAUCGCCGGAAAUUCUGAAAUAAAUCCAAGAAUUAUGCGAGCAUCAGGACUUGCCAUGAUGGGUUGGGGAUACCACAGUCCCUCUAACCAUCCAACCACAGAUUGGUUCGCGUAAUGUGUAUACAUUGAUGAAGAACAGUCGCACGGCGAAAAAGCUAGUGGUUCUGUUGCUGUACUGAACAUGCAAUCAUAAAAAAAAAUGGGACCACUGAUUUAUCACGUGGCUGAAAAAUAGAGCCCCCCUUUGAUUUUCAUUACUCACUCCGUUCCUAAAUACAAGUCCUUGUAAAGAUUUCACUACGAACCACAUACAGAGGAAAACGAGUGAAUCUACACACUAAAAUGCAUCUAUAUACAUCCAGGGCCGGCCCUGGGGUAUGGCCGGAGGGGCGACGGCCCAGGGCCAGGACGGUGGGGGGCCCAAGAUUUUGUAUGUAUGUGUAGUAUAGCCCAGUGAAAAUUAGGUGGAGUUAAAAAUAAAGGAAACCUACACGGGGGCCUGGAGAUGGGCUAGGCCCAAUUGAAACUAGCGACAGGUGAAGCGUCCGACGCACGGCCGCACGCAGGCGAUAAUCCAUCUGAUCGUUCUGUCGUUCGCUUCGUUAGUUCGUCUUCCAGUCUUCCUCAACCGUCUCGUCGCCUCCGCCUCGGUCCCUCGGGAAUAACCGGACUCUUGUUCGUUCUAGCCGCUGCGGUGCCGUGCGCGGCAGACCCGGCAGCUUGGUUUUGCGCCGUGCGCCCCAUGUCGGCGACCCGCCCAUCCGGCAUCAAUCCAUUCAGCCAUCCACUGCAGGUCAUUGGCAAAUGGUCACAAGAUCCCGACCGUGAGUUUGUGUGGUCUUUUACAAGUACUCCUUCCGUUUUAAAAUAGAUGACCCAACUUUAUACUAACUUUGCACUAAAGCUAGUAUAAAGUUGAGUCUAAUAUUUUGAAAUGGAAGGAGUAUGUGUUAAUCCAUCCUCAAAUUCAGUGUACUGUCUAUAUGAAACAUAAUUAAGGUUUUAAUUUAUAAAUUUGUAAUUGUCUGUGUUCUCUUUUCUUCGUAAUUUUAGGAUAAUAGUCUGCUUUACAACAUUCUUUAAGAAGCCUUGCUGAAAAAAAUGGCGUUUACGUGUGUCUUACGACUUAGGGGCCCAUAUCGUCGAGGUCGCCUAGGGCCUUCCAAAACAAAGGGCCGGCCCUGUUUGCACGCAAUCUAGCAAGAGGUAUAAAGUACCUUUCCAAAAGCUACUUUAAUGAAAUCAGGGAAAUGUAACUAAAGUGUUGAUUCACAAAUAUUAUUAUUAGGUAUAAACAACUAUUCACCGUGUGUUAGCAAAAUUAACAUGGUUGGCUGCUUGUUUUUCUGGAAAGCCGGCCAAGCUUGCCGCCUGGUAAAUCAACAUAGAUCCUUUUUUCACACACCAUUAUAAUUUGUAUCAAAAAUAUAUUAGUUUGUUUAGCGUGAAAAACACAUUAUUUUUAUAAUAUUCAAUAUUUCCAUGUACAAGUUGCAAGAUCUCAUAGUGUGGUGGUGAUACCUUCUCUCCAAAUAAAUGAAUGAAAUUUACUCCUCCCAUCCCAUGAGAAAGAAAAAAAAACACCCUUUGUGAGAGCCUCCUCGCGUCUCUCUCCAUCCAGCCGCCGGCGGCGAGAGAGGCUCACUAUCACUAGCACUAGAGCACAGAUCCAACGCAUCCACCAUCCAAUCAACCACCGAAUCCAAGCUGACUAUCCAUUUCAGCGGCGCGCCCGAGGGGAAUCGAGGAGGCGGCGGGGGCGGCGCUCCCCGUCCCUUCCAGAUCGACGGCCGCAGGCGGGAGGAGCCGCCACCUCGAAACAGGAGGCCGCCGCCCGGGGCGCAUAUCGCUCGAUUGGUCCUAGCUAGGGUUUCAGUAGUCGGCCGGGACCAUGGAGUCGCCGCCGCCCAAGCGCAACUUCGGCGACGGCGGCGAGGACGGAAUCAGCGCGCUCCCCGACCACCUCCUCCUCGACAUCCUCGAGCGCCUCGACCUGCGCGAGGCGGUCCGCGCCGGCGCGCUCUCCACGCGCUGGCGGCACCUCCCCGGCCACCUCUCGCGCGUGCGCCUCGACGUCGCUCACUUCCGCGGCGCCACGCCGCUCGAGGUCAUGGACGCGUUCACGGGCGCGGCGCGGGCCUUGCUGACUCGGGUGCCUCCCGCCGAGGGUGGUCCCCUCAAGGUGCUCGUCCUGAGCUUCUACACGUCUUCCCCUCACCUGAGCUCCAUAGGCCGCCUCAUCGAGGACAUUGUGAGCUUGGGCCACACCCAAUGCCUUGAGUUUUGCAUAUCCCCGCCGGGCACUAACCCGCUGGGCAGCAACAUUGAGAUUGGGCAGGAGUUCAUGGCCUUCUCCCGCGCCUACCCAGUUGCCUUCUCGUGGCUCACGACGCUUACGCUCGAAUAUCAUGCUUUUGGAAAUUCCGACAUCACUGACCUCAUUAGCGCUUGCGGCAGGCUCAGGCACCUCAGCUUGAGAUUCUGCAGACUGCUUGAUCUGCACUCCACGCUCAGGAUUGAUGUGCCGUGCUCUGAGCUCCAGGAGCUUGAGUUCAUCGGCCUUUUGUGCACACGCAUCGAGCUCGUCUCUGUCCCCAAGCUUAGACAAGUGGAGUGCAAAUGUUGGCUCUUCAAUAACCCUCCAGUGCGCUUUGGCUACGUUCCUGAGCUUCGCGGUUUAGUACUCGCUUCUAAAGCCAAGGCAUGGCAAGAGCCAUUCGCGCUCAGCGAAUGCUUGUCAACGAGUGCUGGUGCCAGGAACCUGUCAACACUGACUCUCUGUUUUGGGUACCAAAUGGUAAACUUAAUUAAUUUCUGCGCACCACUUAAAUAUAAAUCUUCUGCAUCUUCAUACCAUGUGUUCUUCUCUACCAGUUUCAGUUGUGCAUGUAUGUUCUUGCUGCAGAUUUGGAUUCAGCCAGAACCUCCGAAGCAGCGCAUUGCUAUAUUCAGAAACCUGACCUCUGUGCGUCUUUUCGGUAUCUUCUGUGAGUGUGAUCUGAGCUGGACUCUGUUUAUCCUUGAGGCUGCACCUGCCCUACAUGAUUUGGCAGUAAGUGUUACUUAACCUUCUUUCUAAUUUAGUCCACAUCUUAGCAUGUACAUGACACAUUCUACAUUUUUAUGAUGAUAUGUUUUUCGGAUAUUCAGCAUUUAAAACGUACCAACAAGUUAAUCUAAUUUCCAACCACUCACCAACUUAUCACAAAUACUACAAGUAGUGCAUACAAGCCGCAUUGUAAUUUUGCAGCGAGACAAUGUCCAUGCAAGGCAAAAAAAAAGUUGGAUCGUAUCUCAUGUUAGAGUAAUCCAAAAAUUCGUCAUAUGUUUUUCUUGAAAAGGAGAGCCUAGCCUCUGCAUCGAGUGAUGCACAUCGCCGUCUUAUGUUUCAUAUUACAAAGAAUCUUGGUUAAAAGAAAUAAGAGGAUAAUAUGGUUGUAAUUACAAUGGAAUCCCAGAAGCAUAUUCAUGUGACAUAGUUACGAUUUAAUUCAUGCAAAUUCCUUGAAAAGUAUAUAGGGGUGUCAAAAACACUCUUAUAUUAUGGGUUGGUGGCAGUUUAAUUAACAUGUGUUACUUACUUUCUAUAUCAUUGCUUGAAGUUGUCUCGACAUUCAUGUGUCAAGACGCCCGAGAACAGCGCCGAGAAGACCAACGUGGUGUGGGAGCCAUCCAAGGAUUUGAAGCACCCGAACUUGAAGGUGUUGCAGAUCUUCGGGUGCGGGGAUGAAGACAAGGUGACAAACUAUAUAAGGCUUGUCAUGGAACGAGCUGUGGGGCUUUUGAUAAUUCGGUUGUAUGGUGAAAACCCAUGCACAUACUGCGAUGCUGGCAACCUUGAAAGAUCCCAGGCGGAAAAGGCUGGCAGGCGUCGGAUUAAGGAGCAACUCACACAUGGAUCAUCCUCAUCUGUGGAGAUAAUUAUCUGUUGACGGAUAUGGUCAGGGAAUGCUAGUAGUCUCGUAAUGCUCGCAGGCUUGCAGCAGCUUGAGCAAUGACUGCAAGAGGCGCAGCCAGUUGUAAUUCUAAUUUCUGGUUAUUGGUGGCCUGGGAACACUUGAUCGCACUGUGGCUAACUUAAAAUGUGUGUACUUGAAUCUGGAUGCAUGUUUUUCUCUUUCAGUUUACCAAGUAAUUCCGUAACAUCAGACUGAAGCAAUGGAGGCGAGGUUGACUGUAGAUAAAAAAUGUCUGUGCACCCUUUUUGCUUUGUGUUGAUAAAUUUCCCUACUCAUGGAGGUAUACUGUUUUGUACUUGAAGGAUUGAUCAAUCAAAACCAGAUGAUUCCAAAACCAAGGUCUACCUUUUAACAAUUUCUAAGAAGGGAGCUUCAGAAUAAGCAAAUAAUUUGAAACUGAUUUGGUUGGGGUGCGCCGGCCUAGGCAGUAGAGGCCCAAUAGCAAGCUACUGCGGUGACACGCAAGUUGAUGUUUCAGGUUUUCCACUUCAGAUUCCCAAGGUUUCAGGUGUUCAAAGAUUGAUUUACCUCUUUCUUCUGAUUAAGAUGGUCAGAGAAAAACUAGGCCAGACCAUAACAACAUGAUCGACUUAUCAUUUUACAAAAUAAAUAAAGUGAAUCGAAUAAUUGUUCACUAGGUGAGCAAGCACUUCAGCAUCCUUGUUCCUAGUUUUAUAUAGCACCCAAGUUUCGAGAAACUACUUAAGGAAGACUAGAUGCAUGAGGUGACCAAACAUGGAUACAUAAAUCUCCAAAUUAAGCAAGGAAAAGCGCUCUGACAGGUCAAAGUAGGAAAGUCAUGUAUCUCUAUCUCACCUUCUGUGAGGGAUUUCUCCAAGGUCUUCCAAGAUGGUGAGAAGUCAAACCUGAAGAAAUGUUACAGUGCUAUUUUUCAAGUUCCGAUGAGAUCAACCAUGCAAGAUUUGAGAGAGAACACCCGAAGCAUUUUCUAGACUUUCACCCAAAAAAGAAGGAAAUGCUGUAAAAGAUUUGAGAGAGAACACACGAAGCAUUUUCUAGACUUUCAAAAAUCCGUUUCGUUUCCUAGCAAAAUGGCAAAAGGCAUUGCUGAACUGCUCCUCAAACACCAUGACCACCUCCAGAUCAAGGACGGCGACCGGAACUGUGCUUCUCGGCAGCGGUCAGCGGACUGCUCCUCAAACACAAUUUCUGUCUGAUUCACGGAAAAUUCCUACUGGAAAUUAAAUAUGUCCUUCUGUAAGAUUUACUUUGUACUAAAUCAUCAACAAAUAAUAUGGAUCCGAGGGAGUAUAAGAUUUUCCCAAAUUCCAGAAUAUGAACAUGAACUUAAGCAAUGUACCGUGUAUAUUAUACUGUAUUAAUCAAACACACAAACAAUCAACAAGAUUUCUGACCUUGCCCGUUGAUCAGCAAGUGCGUAGUUCAAGUCUAAUCUUAUGCACCAGUACUAAGGUAAGACAAAAAUUAAAUCUCCUAUCUCCUAGUAGUAAAAAUCUAAAGCUCGUCGUGGUCGUUGUCCUCCUCGGCGUCGUCGUCAUGACCACCGCCGGCGUUCCCGUAGGCAGCGGCGAAGGCGGGGCUGCACACAUCCUCUAGCUCCUUGAGCUUCUCCGCGUAGUCGUCCUGGUCAGCGUCCGGAUUGGCCUCUAGCCACUCGCUGGCCUCCCUCGCCGCCUCCCUGACCCUCUCCCUGUCGCCGCCGUCCAUCUUGUCCCCCAGCUCGCCGUCGGCCGUCGUCCUGGCGCUGUAAACGUACGCUUCCAGCUUGUUCCGCGCGUCCACCUUGUCCCUCACCUUCCUGUCCUCCUCGGCGAACUCCUCCGCCUCUUGCACCAUGCGCUCGAUCUCCUCCUGGCUGAUGCUACGACCGGCGCUGCUGAUCUCGAUCUUCUCCGACCUGCCCGUGCCCUUGUCCGCCGCCCCCACGUGCAGGAUGCCGUUCACGUCCACCUCCAGCGUCACCUCGAUCUGCGGCGUGCCCCUCGGCGCCGGCGCGAUCCCGGUGAGGUCGAACUUGCCCAGCAGCCGGUUGUCCUUUGUCAUGCUCCGCUCGCCCUCGAACACCGUGAUGGUCACCGUCGUCUGCCUGUCCUGGUACGUGGUGAACAUCUUGGCCCUCUUGGUCGGGAUCGGCGAGUUCCGGGGGAUCACGCUCGUCAUCACGCCGCCGGCAGUCUCGAUGCCCAGCGUCAGCGGAGUCACGUCCAGCACCACAACCUCCUUGGCGUCGCCGCGCACGAUGCCGCCCUGCACUGCCGCGCCGUAGGCCACGGCCUCGUCGGGGUUGACGCCCUUGUGGGGCUCCUUGCCGCCGAAGUAGUCGCGGAGGAGCUGCUGCACCUUGGGGAUCCUCGUGCUGCCGCCGACCAGCACCACCUCGUCGACGUCGCCCUUGGCCAGCCCGGCGUCCGCCAUGGCCUUCUUCACGGGCGCCAUGACCUUGCGGAAGAGGUCGGCGUUGAGCUCCUCGAAGCGGGCCCGGGUGAGCGGCUCCGACAGGUCGACGCCGUCGGCCAGCGACUCGACCUCCACGCGGACCUGGAGCUGGGUGCUGAGCGCCCGCUUGGCGCGCUCGCACUCGCGCCGGAGCUUGCCGAGCGCGCGCGCGUCGCCGGAGAUGUCGACGCCGUGCUUCCGCUUGACGAGCCGGAUGAAGUGGUCCAUGACGCGCUGGUCGAAGUCCUCUCCACCGAGGUGUGUGUCGCCGUUGGUGGCGAGGACCUCGAAGACGCCGCCGUCUAGCGCGAGCACGCUGACGUCGAAGGUGCCGCCGCCGAGGUCGAACACGAGCACGUUCCGCUCCUUCCCGUCGGCCACCUUGUCGAGCCCGUAGGCGAUGGCGGCAGCAGUGGGCUCGUUGAUGAGGCGGACGACGUUGAGGCCGGCGAUGGCGCCGGCGUCCUUGGUGGCCUGGCGCUGCGCGUCGUUGAAGUAGGCCGGGAUGGUGAUGACGGCGUCCCGGACCUUCUCGCCGAGAUACGCCUCGGCCGUCUCCUUCAUCCUGGUGAGCACCAUGGCGCUCACCUCCUCCGGGCUGAGCGUCCGCACGUCGCCGGCCUUGACCUCCACCUCGAGGUGCGGCUUGCCGUUCUUGUCCACCACCUUGAACGGCAGCAGCUUCAUGUCCCGCUGCACCUCGGCGUCGACGAACUGCCUGCCGAUGAGUCGCUUGGCGUCGUAGACGGUGCGGAGCGGGUUGGCGGCGGCCUGGUUCUUGGCGGCCUCGCCGAUGAGGCGCUCGCCGGAGUCAGUGAAGGCGACCCAGGAGGGGGUGAUGCGGUUGCCCUGGUCGUUGGCGAUGAUCUCCACGCGCCCGUUCCGGUACACGGCCACGCAAGAGUAGGUCGUGCCCAGGUCGAUGCCGAUCACCGGCCCGCCGUUGCCGUUGCCGUUGCCGGAGCCCUUCUCCUUCGCCGCCGCCGCGGCCGAGGGAGCCGGCGUGGCCGCGAGGAGCAGCACCGCGAACAGUAGCCCGCGCAACUUCGUCGCCCGAGCCAUGGCGCCGGCGAUCGAUCGAUGUCGUCGCGAAGCUAGGUCCAAGUAGUACGUUGCAGGACGAGGCGGUGCGGCUACUAUUUAUGGCGCGAAGGGAGGCCUAUAGCGAGGGUGUGACGUGGACGAAUCGGAGGUGGUCUCCGACGCGGUCUGUCCCUCGGGAUCGCGGUGACACGCGUGCGAGUCGAUCUGGGCCGUUGGUUUCCACGAUCGGACGGCUGCGAGGGCUCGUGACACGCUGGCGGGAACCGGGCUGGCUGCUGCGUGACGUGUUGGCUGUCAACAAGGAUGUUCGAUCAUGAUUCCAACAAAAAGAAUCAGUUCCUGACUUGCAAAAAUAAAAGAAUCAGUUCCUGGGCCCACUUUGGAGGUUACAUGUAUGAAUUCUCUCACAAAAGAUUAAAGAUAUGACCCAAGAGGUUAAAAACAAUUUCAGACACCAAAAUUCGGGAAGUCAUCUCGUCUCUUAUACCAAAUUUAAAUGUGAUUCAAAUCUACUUUGAAUUUAAGGUACGCAGGAGGACUGAUGGAGCGUAUCACUGAAUUUCAAGGACACCACGUCGAAAGAGGUGUUUGGAUGGAGAAAGAAGGUUGUUGACAUCAAUUUCACAUUGUUAUUUAAACAGCCAAACUUCACGAACUCACUUUCUGCAAUCACGACGCAAAAUUUUCUCAAUUCAAGGAAGGUUCAUGCAAAGGCCGGCUAGAAAAUCCUCAGGAAAAUCUGAAAUUCCCAGUAGCUAAAUCCACCAACCCACAACUGAAUCCAUUCAUCCAAAGUUGAUCUGCAUGCAUGCAUGGGGAAGAGAACCUCUGGUCUCAUGACCAACCAUCCGUUAGUUAAAUUUGUCUAGUUCAAAUACUGAACUUGUUAAACCUUUUUCAAAAGAUGAACCCCCUAAUUCGCAUGGCACUUGCUAAACAUGCCAUCUAAAAUAGGCUACAUUGUUCUAUCUACUGAGCAACUCUUCAGUGGAAGAAUCUUCGGCGGCACCGUGCCGACCCCAUCUCCUCGUACUCCGAUUUCGUAACGCACAUCGACUCGAAAUCGGGGCUGGAUGCCAGGACAGAUCCUCCUCUCCAGACACCAAGAAUUGGGCUGCGCAAAGUAGCAGAGCGUUAAUGCCAUUCGCGCCGCACAUGAGCGUUAGUGAACAAGCGAGAUGCGCCAAGACAGAAACAGAGUAAAAGGCACGUACUUCUCUUGAGAAAUUAUCUUCACCUGGUACUCCUCGGGCACAAGAGGUCGAAGUUCUCUCUGCCUGUUGAUACAAACAACUAAGAUGAUGCACACAGACUCGUGUGAUGGGAGAUAGCACUGUUACUUUUCCUACAGAAAAACUACUUACAAUCUUUCAGCGAACCGAGGGAACAACGUGCUUCCGCCUGUCAAGAUGAUGCUGAAAACAGCCCAAUGCAUGAGAACAAGAGUCACGCGAUCAGAGGUCAAGAUAGCGUCAGGCAUUUCACCGUUUAACGACAAAACAUACCUCUGAUAAAGCACAGGUUGAAUAUAUGGAUGACAGGCUUGUGCAGCACGAACAAUACACUCAGCAAGGCCCGCUUGAUUCAUGCCUACAAAAUUCUGUUAUCAGUAUAUUCUUAUUUCUUACCCUUGCAGAAGGGAAACUAAUGAGCUGAAGCAGUAGGUGGAAUCGCUCCUGCUAACUUGCACAAAUCAACUUUAUCCUGACAGUCAUUCAGCCUAUAUAAGGUGCUUCCUUUUCUUAUGGCAAUAGGCCAGUCUAUUCUAUCCAUCUGAUCCAAAAUGCAUCAAAGUUAAAUUUGAGUGGAAACAAAUGGAAACAGAAGGAAAAUAGAACUAUCAUGAUUGGUAACGCUUGUAGAGAGAUAAAUUGAAAAGAUUCUGUACACAACUCUAUUGUUUCAUUUCUCUAUCUACAUGAACUGGCACUUUGGCAGAGCACCUGCCUUUCACGGUAAAAAAAACACUUUUUGGACAGAAGAGAAGGAUAAGACAGACUGUUUUGCAGUCCAUCAAAAUUUGGGAGAACAAACAAGAGAAAUUGUGACCCAUAAGUUUUGCUCUUACAGCAAAACUGCCCCAUAUUUUCUGAACAAGCAAAUUAAACCCAUAUUCAAAUUGUCUAUCCUUCUUUUCCUUUUUGUUUUAUGUUUGGUCUGAUUCAUCCCACCAAAUGUAUUUUCUAGGAUGCCCUCCCAGUAUGUAUCAAAAUGCAAAGCCUGCGGCUGUAACAUGUAAGGUCCCAAGGCAAAAAUUAUCCAGUUUAAUGCAAUGGAAGUACCACACAUUUUGACAGCGUUUCAAUGAUCACCACACAUUUUCAGACAUUGUGGAAUGCAGAAAAAAUCUAGUCCUGAAAUUUAUAUAUCCUUAGCUAGCAUCAAAAGAUUAUGUCUGGUUGAGAAAUCAUUUUCAUUAAGGGUGACAAAUUAAAAUUAGGUUCGGGAUCCUUGAGUAGUCUCUGAAGCUCACUCUGCUAAUCCAGCAUCUCAAUGAGAUGGGGGCUAGCUAGAGAGAGAGAGAGAGAGAGAUUCAGAGUCCUUGAGUUAGUCUCUGCAGGACAGGAUGCUAGGGCAAUAGCAGGGGCAUGUUCUAAAAAAAAGAUUAUGAAGUACAGAUGAAGAAGGUAUAGGAGACAUUUAGAUGACACUAACCCAGAUCAAUUGGAUGAAAAAGCAUCUCCGGGACAAGGAACCUCUCGUUGGUCAAGGCAAAUUCCUGCAAAUUAAAAUUCCGUUAGAUGAUUGUUACCAAGUAACAUUCGACAUGUAACAAAAACACAGGAUGUUACAUUUUGACUUAGUUCAGGCUUUUUUCGAUCCUUGUCUAUGCCACUGUCACCAUCCUUUUUAUCUAAUUCUCCUUCAACAGGCAGAGAGCAGUAUCGACGUGCUUCAUCCAAGUCUUUGACAAACCCUUUCUUGUAUGUUAUGCCAUCAGGGAGAAUGUAAGAACAUCUAAAUGGGUUGUCCUUGAAUGAUAAACUGCAAUAAUUGCAUAUCACACUGUUAAGAGAUUUGAUCAUUUGUAACUAGCAGAGAAAGGUAGUUGUUUGACUAACUGAUAAACAAGACAGUAUAUGGUGCUUGAAAAACACAAUGAUAUGAUGGUAUGCACAUUGCCUAAGCAGAAAAAAUUUAAAGCUAGGCGAAACAGUGUGAUCAAAACUAUUUCGAAUGUCAAACAUAAUGAGCAGAUAUCCACAGAUGUUCAACCAAUCAACCAACUAAUAAAUGAAUGAAGUACUAACUGAUAUCUCUGUCCAGCUCCAAAGGAAAAUUUAAAGUAUGAGACUCUUAAUCAAAUUUGACUUUGCUUGAAUAAACCCUCACAUUCAUUAAUUACUCAGUACUCGCAGCUCAACAACAGGACCACAACCAGCUAUUCAGACUGCAAAGGAUCAGUCAUUGCUUGUCAUAUCUUCUCAAGUACAUGGUGAUCUUGCAUUCAGACUCUUAAGUACAUGGUGAUCUUGCAUUUGCUUAGUUUGUCAACUGAAACCAACUCUAGGCCAUAAUAUUCAGGUCGAGUACAAAUUUAUAACUAUACUUUCCUUCCAUAGUCUAAGCUUGUGCAUGAGUGUGUGCAUAUGGUAUACAGUCGGAUAAUUUUCUUAGCCAUCUCUGUUUGAAGCUAUCAUAACCGCAACCAUUCUACUAAAGUCUACAACCUGACUAACCAAGUAUCCAGGCAUUUGAAGCUAACAAACAGUUGUUGUUUCAAAUAAAGUAAAGUAGGACACAGGGGUUACCCUUCUGUUUUCAGCAAGAAAAAAAAUGCAACAUAGAUUUAUUUUGAAGAUACAGAACAUAGUUCCAUAGGUGCCAUUCUAUCAGCAGAUAUGGUUAGGUUUGUUGCUCAAACAACUCAUUAACAGUUCAGAUUACAAGAGGUACAAGUUCCUAGCUGGUCUUUCCAUACGAAGGUCACAUCUUAAUUUAAAAAUUAUCAUGAAAUUGUUCCAGACUCUAACCUUAAACAAAAAAAAAAGAGAACACGGUAAUUUAAUAUAUCCACAUCAUGUCAGUGAGGAAGUCAGCAGACCUGGCAAGGCGAAGAUCACGAGGGACAUCAAGGGAAACAAAGCAUAGCUUUUCCUUUGCGUCAUCAAUGAGGAGGGUCUCAUCCAUGACAUUAAGGGACCGGUACGAAACAAGCUCCUUGAGAUAGUUUGUGAGGGCCUUGCCACCAAGGUCCAUACGCCGCACAGCAUAAUUCAGCGUAAAGUUCUGAAGGACAGGGGACGCAUGGGUGAAGGAGAAGCCGCAGUCCACAACAAGACUGCAUUGGGUAUGAAAGAGCGACGGCUGGCGGCUGGCCUCGUAAAGGUGGACAAGGGAAGGAGCGUCAGCAACGCAAAGAGAGUUGAAGCCAAACUCCUCGAACACAAGUUCGUCGGUAGCAUGCUGCAGUCCUGGAGGAUUGAACUGCGGUUCCACCAGUAACAAGGAUGAGUUUGUCGGAUCCACCUGGAGCAGGGUGCGCAGGACCCGUUCCCACACCUCCCGCUGCACCUCUGUAUUGAUAAGGUAGCCACGGUCAAUAGGACGCCUCAACGUCAUGCCAGUCACAUCAACAUCUUGUGCCUGCAGCUGGUCAGCCGCUAGCCAUUUCUUCGAAUUUGCAUUGGAACCAGGAGACUUUGCUAUACAGUUCGGUACGACAGCAAUUGGAUCCUUGUCCCCACCAAAACCAGCCUUCAGAAGACCACCCCCAUUGUCUAUCACCACCACACGUGAUCCACCCGUCAUGUAAAAUCCCACUGCUACUUCUCUCUUAUUCAAGCCUGUCCCUAUCCAACUGAGACCCAAGCCGGUAUACUUGAAUUUAAAAGGGUCCUGCAUAAAGAACAAUUAAGGGAUCGAUUUGAUAAAUUGCUCAACAACUGCAUGCAAAUCUUCCCAUGUAAACAGCAUGCGCUUUAGCAACAGACAUAAUAAAUCUGCCUUAAUAUCUAGGUAGGCGUGGCUCAAGUGCGACAUGUUUUUUUCAGAAAACUUUGUAUAGCAAUAUAGAAAAUCAUGGAGCCGGUGAGAAACUGUAAAGUGAGGCUUAGCAAGACAUAGCAACUAGGAAAACAAACCACGAAGUUUCAGCAGCUAGAUAUAUGUUCUAACACUAGUAACAACACAAACAGGAAGAAUACACUGCAGCGGCGGCCUAAAUCCUUGAACCCAAUCGUAUGUCAGAGGCAGUGGCGGACCCAGGAAUAAAAUGGAGGGUGUGCACACUCCCAAAAAAACUGUCUAAUCCAAAGUGUCAUAUAAUAUGUGAUAAAAUAAUACAAACAAAUAGCUCAAUCAAGUCUCACAACAUUGUAGCUGACGAAAUAUACUCCAAAUUCCACAAUUCAAUGGCAUCAAUCAAUUAUAUAUAAGCAUUAAGCAGUAAACCAGUGGCUAAAUUGCUGUCUUGCAUCAAUUCAAUCAAAUCGGUUGCUGGCUAGUACAUUAUAGUAGUACUAACAGUUGGGCAAACAGAGAAACAACUCAAUCCAUUAUCUAUACCUUGCUGUGAAUGGCUAGAGCGGUGGGUCCCUCGGGGCAUAGGGGUGGAGGCUGGAGCUCGCCGGUGCCCCAGGAGCUCGCAGCGAGGGAAGGGGGCGGGCCGCGCCGCCGCGGGCGAGCCGGCGCCUAGCGUGGAGAGGGGGGCGGCCGGGCGGGCCAGGGGGCAGGGUAAGGGAGCGGCCGUCCGGCACUACUGGCGGCCAAACGGUGGCGGGAAGGGGAGCGGGCGGCCGGACGACAGGGAGACGGCGAGCCGUCGACGGGGAGUGGCGGCUGGCUCCUGGCUGGUUAGGUCUCUCGGCUCUCGCUCGUGUCUGCCUCUGGGAGGACUGGGGAGAGAGGUCCAGAGGAGAAGUAGACUGUUGGGCCUGGGCUGUGGAAUGCAUUUUAAUUGGCUGGGCCUUUAUCGAACCUGCACAGUUUUACUUCAAAAAAAUAACAUGGUUGCCUAAAAUAAACAUGGUAAAAAAACAGAAUUUUGGGUGUGCCACGGCACACCCACAAGGUCCGACUGUGGUCUGUGCCGACGACCAAUGGCAAGGGGGGUCACAGGAUCCCACGCUCGUGUAGCUUUAGAUUUUAGUGCCCUAGUAGCUUAGAUUUUGAGGUCGUUUCACGUCUUCGAUUUGGUGGCAGCGAUGGCGGCACUAAAUAAAGGAGUUCGAGAUCAUUCCUCGACCAGGGAUAGAUUUGGGAACUGGUAUGUUCAAGCGGGGAUGACGUGGCGGUGGCAUCCUUGUGUGGACUUGGGUCCUUGGGCUCCGUCGUUGUGGCGGCGUUUGCUCCAACAUUGGCGUGGAGCUUGAGAGGUAGUCCAGGAGCGAAUGCAGUUAGUGGUCUACAUCUUCGGCACCUGGAAGAUAGUGGAUCGUGUUUUGGGUUCAUGAUUGGUGGCUGGUUGGUAUGGUUUCCUCUUCCGACAUGUUAGUCAAGCAGGGGUAUCAGAUCUGGAGUGCGAUGGCGUGUCCAGGGUGUUGUCCCAGCCAGAUUCUUGCUAUGGCAAUGGUUGUGCCUUUGGUAAGUUGCUUUGGAGAUCCAAAAAAUGCAUAUUAUUGCUAAUGGAUUCUCUGAAGCUAGCGUGCAUGAAGCUAUGGAAUUAUUAAACAACAUACAACAAACAGGAAGUAUAGCUCAUUACAUUGACAACUUUGAACAUUGUAUUGCUUUGGUCAAAAGAAAUCAUCCAUUUCUUCGGUAAAUUUUUCUUCUGGGCUGCUAUAUUGGAUGUUUAAGAGGAGAUAUGAAACAUGAUGUGUAUGGUUAGAAACCAACUCAUAUUAUAGAAGCUUAUUUGGACUCCAAAAUUUAUGAAAAGACUGCAGCAACCACUCAAGUGCAACUAAAUUUCAGACAAAGAGGACAACAUAACCAACCUUUAGAAAUAAUUUUCCAAUAGCACAAGUGCCACAACAAAUAUAAUAGGAGAGAGCAAACCGACCUCUUCCAAAUGCUAGAGCUUUUUCGUACCGUACAGAACCUUGAUCUGGGUAGCAUAAAUACAAAAUUAGAAAAAAACAUUACACAUACGUCAUGAAGUGGAAGAUGAUAGUGACACUGAAACAAAUAUGGAAUAUGUUUAGUCUCAUGAACAAACUUUCCACACAACUCCUAAUACUCCUGACCAAUAAGUAAUGCAGGUGUCUUGUCAUGUAGCAGAGGGAACAACAAGUCCUCGUACUUUUUCCCUCUUGCUAAUGGUUGAUGACAAACUAGUAGUUUCCCUACUGGAUAGUGGGUCUUCAUAUAUUUUCGUGAGCACUGAUUUUGCAAUCCAGAGUAGUUGUUAUCAAAAGCCUAUCACUCCAUAAAGGAGUAGUAGGAGGUGGCAAGUUAAUAUCCAAUGGUGUGGUACCUCUCAAGGAAUUUCAGAUGCAAGGCAAGACUUUCUCAAGUUCCUUUAAGCUUUUGGAUUUAGCAAGCUAUGAUAUAAUUUUGGGAGUGAUGUCUACUACACUACCUUCUUCUUGUAAACGUUGUUGGGCCUCCAAGUGCAGAGGUUUGUAGGACAGUAGCAAAUUUCCCUCAAGUGGAUGACCUAAGGUUUAUCAAUCCGUGGGAGGCGUAGGAUGAAGAUGGUCUCUCUCAAGCAACCCUGCAACAAAAUAACAAAAAGUCUCUUGUGUCCCCAACACACCCAAUACAAAUGGUAAAUUGUAUAGGUGCACUAGUUCGAUGAAGAGAUGGUGAUACAAGUGCAAUAUGGAUGAUAGAUAUAGGUUUUUGUAAUCUGAAAAUAUAAAAACAGCAAGGUAACUAAUGAUAAAAGUAAGCAAAAACGGUAUUGCAAUGCGUUGAAACAAGGCCUAUGGUUCAUACUUUCACUAGUGCAAGUUCUCUCAACAAUAAUAACAUAAUUGGGUCAUAUAACUAUCCCUCAACAUGCAACAAAGAGUCACUCCAAAGUCACUAAUAGCGGAGAACAAACGAAGAGAUUAUUGUAGGGUAUGAAACCACCUCAAAGUUAUUCUUUCUGAUCAAUCUAUUCAAGAGUUUGUAGUAAAAUAACACGAAGCUAUUCUUUCCAUUCAAUCUAUCCUAGAGUACGUACUAGAAUAACACCUUAAGACACAAAUUAACCAAAACCCUAAUGUCAUCUAGAUACUCCAAUAUCACCUCAAGUAUCCGUGGGUAUGAUUAUACGAUAUGCAUCACACAAUCUCAGAUUCAUCUAUUCAACCAACACAAAGAACUUCAAAGAGUGCCCCAAAGUUUCUACCGGAGAGUCAAGACGAAAACGUGUGCCAACCCCUAUGCAUAAGUUCACGAGGUCACGGAACUCGCAAGUUGAUCACCAAAACAUACAUCAAGUGGAUCACGUGAAUAUCCCAUUGUCACCACAGAUAAGCACAUGCGAGACAUACAUCAAGUGUUCUCAAAUCCUUAAAGACUCAAUCCAAUAAGAUAACUUCAAAGGGAAAACUCAAUCCAUUACAAGAGAAUAGAGGGGGAGAAACAUCAUAAGAUCCAAGUAUAAUAGCAAAGCUCGCGAUACAUCCAGAUUGUGCAAAUCAAGAACACGAGAGAGAGAGAGAGAGAGAGAUCAAACACAUAUCUACCGGUACAUACCCUCAGCCCCGAGGGUGAACUACUCCCUCCUCGUCAUGGAGAGCGCCGGGAUGAUGAAGAUGGCCACCGGAGAGGGAUUCCCCCCUCCGACAGGGUGCCGAAACGGGUCUAGAUUGGUUUUCGGUGGCUACAGAGGCUUGCGGUGGCGGAACUCCCGAUCUAGGUUUCUUUCUGGAAGUUUGGGUAUAUAUAAGAGGUAUUGGAGUCGGGAACAAGUCAGGGGGUCCCCGAGGCGGCCACGAGGUAGGGGGCGCGCCCAGGGGGGGUAGGGCGCGCCCCCCACCCUCGUGGGUGCCUCAGGACUCUUCUGGCUCAUCUCCGAUACUCCAUGGGCUUCUUCUAGUCCAAAAAUAAUCUUCGUGAAAUUUCAGGUCAAUUGGACUCCGUUUGGUUUUCCUUUUCUGCGAUACUCAAAAACAAGAAAAAAACAGAAACUGGCACUGCGCUCUAGGUUAAUAGGUUAGUCCCAAAAAUCAUAUAAAAAGCAUAUAAAACAUCCUAGAUGGAUAAUAUAAUAGCAUGGAACAACAAAAAAUUAUAGAUACGUUGGAGACGUAUUAGGGAGCACAUUAGAUAUACAGUUACACUCCUAUUUUCUUGUACCUGGUGCAAAGGAUUUUGAUUGCGACAAAGAACGAAUCUCCUGUUACUUUGCAUCAUCAUACUUGUUGGUGGUAAAACCGGCAGACCUGGUCCCGAGCUGUGGAUGUCGGAUUGGUGGUAACAGGAGCGAAGGAGACAAUAUUUACCCAGGUUCGGGCCCUCUCGAAUAGGUAAUACCAUACGUCCUGCUUUGAUUGUAUUGAUGAUGAUGUAUCAAGUACAAGCUUGAUCUACCUCGAGAUCGUAAGGAGAAACCUAACUCUAGUGCUAGAUGAAUGUAAUUGUGAUUCGGUCCCCUCUACGGGUUAAACCCUCUGGCUUAUAUACACGUCAGGUAGGGCAUCUAGGGUUACAUGGUCGAUAUCCGGGGGUACGCAUGGAGGCGGCCGGAGAUGUCUUGGAGUAUAGGCCAAGUCUUUGCUACAUGCAGUCUUGAUCUCGUCCAGGCAUGUAGCUUUUGGAGUCCACCUGAUGGAGAAUGAGGGCCUAUAGGCCCAGUCCGAGGACUAUGGGCCGACUAGGUUGGCACUGAAGGAAAUAUGCCCUAGAGGCAAUAAUGAAGUUAUUAUUUAUUUCCUUAUAUCAUGAUAAAUGUUUAUUAUUCAUGCUAGAAUUGUAUUAACUGGAAACAUAAUACAUGUGUGAAUACAUAGACAAACAGAGUGUCACUAGUAUGCCUCUACUUGACUAGCUCGUUAAUCAAAGAUGGUUAUGUUUCCUAACCAUGAACAAGGAGUUGUUAUUUGAUUAACGAGGUCACAUCAUUAGUUGAAUGAUCUGAUUGACAUGACCCAUUCCAUUAGCUUAGCACCCGAUCGUUUAGUAUGUUGCUAUUGCUUUCUUCAUGACUUAUACAUGUUCCUAUGACUAUGAGAUUAUGCAACUCCCGUUUACCGGAGGAACACUUUGGGUGCUACCAAACGUCACAACGUAAAUGGGUGAUUAUAAAGGAGUACUACAGGUGUCUCCAAAGGUAGAUGUUGGGUUGGCGUAUUUCAAGAAUAGGAUUUGUCACUCCGAUUGUCGGAGAGGUAUCUCUAGGCCCUCUUGGUAAUGCUCAUCACAUAAGCCUUGCAAGCACUGCAACUAAUAUGUUAGUUGUGAGAUGAUGUAUUACGGAACGAGUAAAGAGACUUGCCGGUAACGAGAUUGAACUAGGUAUUGGAUACCGACGAUCGAAUCUCGGGCAAGUAACAUACCGAUGACAAAGGGAACAACGUAUGUUGUUAUGCGGUCUGACCGAUAAAGAUCUUCGUAGAAUAUGUAGGAGCCAAUAUGGGCAUCCAGGUCCCGCUAUUGGUUAUUGACCGAAGACGUGUCUCGGUCAUGUCUACAUUGUUCUCGAACCGUAGGGUCCGCACGCUUAACGUUACGAUGACAGUUAUUAUGAGUUUAUGCAUUUUGAUGUACCGAAGGUUGUUCGGAGUCCCGGAUGUGAUCACGGACAUGAAGAGGAGUCUCGAAAUGGUCGAGACAUAAAUAUUGAUAUAUUGGAAGCCUAUAUUUGGAUAUCGGAAGUGUUCCGGGUAAAAUCGGGAUUUUACCGGAUUACCGGGAGGUUACCGGAACCCCCCGGGAGCCAUAUGGGCCUUAUUGGGCUUUAGUGGAAAGGUGAAAGGGGCUGCCCAUAGUGGGCUGCGCGCCUCCCCCCCUCCCCUAGUCCUAUUAGGACUAGGAGAGGUGGCCGGCCACCUCUCUCUCUCUCUUUCCCCCUUGGGAGUCCUAUUAGGAAUAGGAUUGGGGGGGGGGAGUCCUACUCCCGGUAGGAGUAGGACACCUCCUGCGCCUCCAUAGGUUUGGCCGGCCAGCCCUCCCCCUGGCAUCCUUUAUAUACGGGGCAGGGGGCACCUCUAGACACACAAGUUGAUCAUUGAGAUCGUUCCUUAGCCGUGUGCGGUGCCCCCUGCCACCAUAAUCCACCUCGAUCAUAUCGUUGUAGUGCUUAGGCGAAGCCCUGCGUCGGUAGAACAUCAAGAUCGUCACCACGCCGUCGUGCUGACAGAACUCUUCCCCGAAGCUUUGCUAGAUCGGAGCCCGGGGAUCGUCAUCGAGCUGUACGUGUGCUAAGAACUCGGAGGUGCCGGAGUAACGGUGCUUGGAUCGGUCGGAUCGGGAAGAAGACGUACGACUACUUCCUCUACGUUGUGUCAACGCUUCCGUUGCGAUCUACAAGGGUACGUAGAUCAGACUCUCCCCCUCGUUGCUAUGCAUCACCAUGAUCUUGCGUGUGCGUAGGAAUUUUUUUGAAAUUACUACGUUCCCCAACAGUGGCAUCAGAGCCUAGGUUUUAUGGUUUGAUGUUAUGUGCACGAGUAGAACACAAGUGAGUUGUGGACGAUAUAAGUCAUACUGCCUACCAGCAUGUCAUACUUUGGUUCGGCGGUAUUGUUGGACGAGACGACCCGGACCAACCUUACGCGUACGCUUACGCGAGACCGGUUCCCUCGACGUGCUUUGCACAUAGAUGGCUUGCGGGCGACUGUCUCUCCAACUUUAGUUGAACCGAGUGUGGCUACGCCCGGUCCUUGAGAAGGUUAAAACGGAGUCUAUUUGACAAACUAUCGUUGUGGUUUUGAUGCGUAGGUGAGAUUGGUUCUUACUUAAAGCCCGUAGCAGCCACGUAAAACUUGCAACAACAAAGUAGAGGACGUCUAACUUGUUUUUGCAGGGCAUGUUGUGAUGUGAUAUGGUCAAGACAUGAUGCUAAAUUUUAUUGUAUGAGAUGAUCAUGUUUUUUAACUGAGUUAUCGGCAACUGGCAGGAGCCAUAUGGUUGUCGCUUUAUUGUAUGCAAUGCAAUCGCGAUGUAAUGCUUUACUUUAUCACUAAACGGUAGCGAUAGUCGUGGAAGCAUAAGAUUGGCGAGACGACAACGAUGCUACGAUGGAGAUCAAGGUGUCGCGCCGGUGACGAUGGUGAUCAUGACGGUGCUUCGGAGAUGGAGAUCACAAGCACAAGAUGAUGAUGGCCAUAUCAUAUCACUUAUAUUGAUUGCAUGUGAUGUUUAUCUUUUUAUGCAUCUUAUCUUGCUUUGAUUGACGGUAGAAUUAUAAGAUGAUCUCUCACUAAAUUAUCAAGAAGUGUUCUCCCUGAGUAUGCACCGUUGCGAAAGUUCUUCGUGCUGAGACACCACGUGAUGAUCGGGUGUGAUAGGCUCUACGUUCAAAUACAACGGGUGCAAAAUAGUUGCACACGCGGAAUACUCAGGUUAUACUUGACGAGCCAAGCAUAUACAUAUAUGGCCUCGGAACACGGAGACCGAAAGGUAGAGCGUGAAUCAUAUAGUAGAUAUGAUCAAUAUAAUGAUGUUCACCGAUGAAACUACUCCAUCUCACGUGAUGAUCGGACAUGGUUUAGUUGAUUUGGAUCGCGUGAUCACUUAGAAGAUUAGAGGGAUGUCUAUCUAAGUGGGAAUUCUUAAGUAAUAUGAUUAAUUGAACUUAAAUUUAUCAUGAACUUAGUCCUGGUAGUAUUUUGUAAAUCAUGUUGUAGAUCAAUAGCUCGCGUUGUUGCUUCCCUGUGUUUACUUUGAUAUGUUCCUAUAGAAAAUUGUAUUGAAAGAUGUUAGUAGCAAUGAUGCGGAUUGGAUCCGUGAUAUGAGGUUUUUCCUCAUUGCUGCACAGAAGAAUUAUGUCCUUGAUGCACCGCUAGGUGACAGACCUAUUGCAGGAGCAGAUGCAGACGUUAUGAACGUUUGGCUAGCUCAAUAUGAUAACUACUUGAUAGUUUAGUGCACCAUGCUUAAUGGCUUAGAAUCGGGACUUCAAAGACGUUUUGAACGUCAUGGACCAUAUGAGAUGUUCCGGGAGUUGAAGAUAAUAUUUCAAGCAAAUAGCCGAGUUGAGAGAUAUGAAGUCUCCAACAAGUUCUAUAGCUAAAAGAUGGAGGAGAAUCGCUCAACUAGUGAGCAUGUGCUCAGAUUGUCUGGGUACUACAAUCGCUUGAAUCAAGUGGGAGUUAAUCUUCCAGAUAAGAUAGUGAUUGACAGAAUUCUCUAGUCACCAUGACCAAGUUAGUAGAACUUCGUGAUGAACUAUAGUAUGCAAGGGAUAACGAAAACGACUCCCGAGCUUUUCAUGAUGAUGAAAUCGAUGAAGGUAGAAAUCAAGAAAAACAUCAAGUGUUGAUGGUAGACAAGACCACUAGUUUCAAGAAAAGGGCAGAGGGAACUUCAAAAAAGAAAGCAAGCAAGUUGCUGCUCAAGUGAAGAAGCCCAACUCUGGACCUAAGCCUGAGACUGAGUGCUUCUACUGCAAAGGGACUGGUCACUGGAAGCGGAACUACCCCAAGUGAUUGGCGGAUAAGAAGGAUGGCAAAGUGAACAUAAGUAUAUUUGAUAUACAUGUUAUUGAUGUGUACUUUACUAGUGUUUAUAGCAAACCCUCAGUAUUUGAUACUAGUUCAGUUGCUAAGAUUAGUAACUCGAAACGGGGGUUGCAGAAUAAACAGAGACUAGUUAAGGGUGAAGUGACGAUGUGUGUUGGAAGUGGUUCCAAGAUUGAUAUGAUCAUCAUCGCACACUCCCCAUAAUUUCGGGAUUAGUGUUGAACCUAAAUAAAUGUUAUUUGGUGUUUGCGUUGAGCAUGAAUAUGAUUUGAUCAUGUUUAUUGUAAUACGGUUAUUCAUUUAAGUAAGAGAAUAAAUUGUUGUUCUGUUUACAUGAAUAAAACCUUAUAUGGUUACACACCCAAUGAAAAUAGUUCGUUGGAUCCCGAUCGUAGUGAUACACAUAAUCAUAAUAUUGAAACCAAAAGAUGCAAAGUUAAUAAUGAUAGUGCAACUUAUUUGUAGCACUGCCGUUUAGGUCAUAUUGGUGUAAAGCGCAUGAAGAAACUCCAUGCUGAUGGGCUUUUGGAAUCACUUGAUUAUGAAUCAGUUGAUGCUUGCGAACCAUGCCUCAUGGGCAAGAUGACUAAGAUUCUGUUCUUCGGAACAAUGGAGCGAGCAACAGAUUUGUUGGAAAUCAUACAUACUGAUGUAUGUGGUCCGAUGAAUAUUAAGGCUUGCAGCAGGUAUCAUUAUUUUCUGAUCGUCAUAGAUGAUUUGAGCAGAUAUGAGUAUAUCUACUUGAUAAAACAUAAGUCUGAAACAUUUGAAAAGUUCAAAGAAUUUCAGAGUGAAGUGAAAAAUCAUCGUGACAAGAAAAUAAAGUUUCUACGAUCUGAUCGCGGAGACAAAUAUUUGAGUUACGAGUUUGGUGUUCAAUUAAAACAAUGUGGAAUAGUUUCACAAACUCAUGCCACAUGGAACACCACAGCAUAAUGGUGUGUCCGAACGUCAUAACUGUACUUUAUUGGAUAUAGUGCAAUCUAUGAUGUCUCUUACUGAUCUACCACUGUCGUUUUGGGGUUAUGCAUUAGAGACAGCUGCAUUCACGUUAAAAGGGCACCAUCUAAAUCUGUUGAGACGACACCGUAUGAACUGUGGUUUGGCAAGAAACCAAAGUUGUCGUUUCUUAAAGUUUGGGGUUGCAAUGCUUAUGUGAAAAAGUUUCAUCCUGAUAAGCUCAAAACCAAAUCAUAGAAAUAUGUCUUCAUAGGAUACCCAAAAGGAUACUAUUGGGUACACCUUCUAUCACAAAUCCGAAGGCAAGACUUUUGUUGCUAAAUUUGGAGUUUUUCUAGAGAAGGAGUUUCUCUCGAAAGAAGUGAGUGGGAGGAAAAUAGAACUUGAUGAGAUAACUGUACCUGCUCCCUUAUUGGAAAGUAGUUCAUCACAGAAAUCUGUUCCUGUGACUACUACACCAAUUAGUGAGGAAGCUAAUGAUGAUGAUCAUGUAACUUCAGAUCAAGUUACUACCAAAUCUCGUAGGUAAACCAGAGUGAGAUCCGCACCAGAGUGGUACGGUAAUCCUGUUCUGGAAGUCAUGUUACUAGACCAUGACGAACUUGCGAACUAUGAGGAAGCGAUGAUGAGUCCAGAUUCCGCGAAAUGGUUUGAGGCCAUGAAAUCUGAGAUAUGAUCCAUGUAUGAGAACAAAGUUUGGACUUUGGUUGACUUGACCGAUGAUCGGCGAGCAAUUGAGAAUAAAUGGAUCUUCAAGAGGAAGACGGACGCUGAUAGUAGUUUUACUAUCUACCAAGAUAGAAUUGUCGCAAAAGGUUUUUGACAAGUUCAAGGUGUUGACUACGAUGAGAGUUUCUCACUCGUAUCUAUGCUUGAGUCUGUCCGAAUCAUGUUAGUAAUUGCCGCAUUUUAUGAAAUCUGGCAAAUGGAUAAACAAAACUACAUUCCUUAAUGGAUUUAUUAAAGAAGAGUUGUAUAUGAUGCAACCAGCAGGUUUUGUUAAUCCUAAAGGUGCUAACAAAAUAUGCAAGCUCUAACAAUCCAUCUAUGGACUGGUGCAAGCAUCUCGGAGUUGGAAUAUACGCUUUGAUAAGUUGAUCAAAGCAUAUAGUUUUAUACAGACUUGCGAUGAAGCCUGUAUUUACAAGAAAGUGAGUGGGAGCACUACAACAUUUCUGAUAAGUAUAUGUGAAUGACAUAUUGUUGAUCAGAAAUAAUGUAGAGUUAUUCUGUAAAGCAUAAAGGAGUGUUUGAAAGGAGUUUUUCAAAGAAAGACUUCGGUAAAGCUGCUUACAUAUUGAGCUUCAAGAUCUAUAGAGAUAGAUCAAGAUGCUUGAUAAGUUUUUUCAAUGAGUACAUACCUUGACAAGAUUUUGAAGUAGUUCAAAAUGGAGCAGUCAAAGAAAGAGUUCUUGCCUGUAUUACAAGGUAUGAAGUUGAGUAAGACUCAAAGCCCGACCACGGCAGAAGAUAGAAAGAGAAUGAAAGUCAUUCCCUAUGCCUUGGCCAUAGGUUCUAUAAAGUAUGUCAUGCUGUAUACCAGAUCUAUUGUAUACCCUGCAUUGAUUUGGCAAUGGAGUACAAUAGUGAUCUAGGAGUAGAUCACUGGAUAGCGGUCAGAAUUAUCCUUAGUGAAAUAAGGAUAUGUUUCUCGAUUAUGGACGUGACAAAAAGGUUCGUCGUAAAGGGUUACGUCGAUGCAAGUUUUUGACACUGAUCCAGAUGAAUCUAAAGUCUCAAUCUGGAUACAUAUUGAAAGUGGAAGCAAUUAGCUAGAGUAGCUCCGUGUAGAGCAUUGUAGACAUAGAACUUGCAAAAUACUUACGGAUCUGAAGGUGACAGACCCGUUGACUAAAAUUAUCUCACAAGCAAAACAUGAUCACACCUUAGUACUCUUUGGGUGUUAAUCACAUAGAUAUGUGAACUAGAUUACUGACUCUAGUAAACCCUUUGAGUGUUGGUCACAUGACGAUGUGAACUAUGGGUGUUAAUCACAUGGUGAUGUGAACUAUUGCUGUUAAAUCACAUGGCAAUGUGAACUAGAUUAUUGACUCUAGUGCAAGUGGGAGACUGAAGGAAAUAUGCCCUAGAGGCAAUAAUAAAGUUAUUAUUUAUUUCCUUAUAUCAUGAUAAAUGUUUAUUAUUCAUGCUAGAAUUGUAUUAACCGGAAACAUAAUACAUGUGUGAAUACAUAGACAAACAGAGUGUCACUAGUAUGCCUCUACUUGACUAGCUCGUUAAUCAAAGAUGGUUAUGUUUCCUAACCAUGAACAAGGAGUUGUUAUUUGAUUAACGAGGUCACAUCAUUAGUUGAAUGAUCUGAUUGACAUGGCCCAUUCCAUUAGCUUAGCACCCGAUCGUUUAGUAUGUUGCUAUUGCUUUCUUCAUGACUUAUACAUGUUCCUAUGACUAUGAGAUUAUGCAACUCAUGUUUACCGGAGGAACACUUUGGGUGCUACCAAACGUCACAACGUAACUGGGUGAUUAUAAAGGAGCUCUACAGGUGUCUCCAAAGGUAGAUGUUGGGUUGGCGUAUUUCGAGAAUAGGAUUUGUCACUCCGAUUGUCGGAGAGGUAUCUCUGGGCCCUCUUGGUAAUGCUCAUCACAUAAGCCUUGCAAGCACUGCAACUAAUAUGUUAGUUGCGGGAUGUUGUAUUACGGAACGAGUAAAGAGACUUGCCGGUAACGAGAUUGAACUAGGUAUUGGAUACCGACGAUCGAAUCUCGGGCAAGUAACAUACCGAUGACAAAGGGAACAACGUAUGUUGUUAUGCGGUCUGACCGAUAAAGAUCUUCGUAGAAUAUGUAGGAGCCAAUAUGGGCAUCCAGGUCCCGCUAUUGGUUAAUGACCGGAGACGUGUCUCGGUCAUGUCUACAUUGUUCUCGAACCGUAGGGUCCGCACGCUUAACGUUACGAUGACAGUUAUUAUGAGUUUAUGCAUUUUGAUGUACUGAAGGUAGUUCGGAGUCCCGGAUGUGAUCACGGACAUGACGAGGAGUCUCGAAAUGGUCAAGACAUAAAGAUUGAUAUAUUGGAAGCCUAUAUUUGGAUAUCGGAAGUGUUCCGGUUAAUACAAUUCUAGCAUGAAUAAUAAAUAUUUAUCAUGAUAUAAGGAAAUAAAUAAUAACUUUAUUAUUGCCUCUAGGGCAUAUUUCCUUCAGUCUCCCACUUGCACUAGAGUCAAUAAUCUAGAUCACAUCACCAUGUGAUUAACAUCGAUAGUUCACAUCAUCAUGUGAUUAACACCCAUAGUUCACAUCGCCAUGUGACCAACACCCAAAGGGUUUACUAGAUUCAGUAAUCUAGUUCACAUCGCUAUGUGAUUAACACCCAAAGAGUACUAAGGUGUGAUCAUGUUUUUCUUGUGAGAGAAUCUUAGUCCCGGAGGGUUCCGGUAACCUCCCGGUAAUCCGGUAAAAUCCCGAUUUUAUCCGGAACACUUCCGAUAUCCAAAUAUAGGCUUCCAAUAUAUCAAUCUUUAUGUCUCGACCAUUUCGAGACUCCUCGUCAUGUCCAUGAUCACAUCCGGGACUCCGAACAACCUUCGGUACAUCAAAAUGCAUAAACUCAUAAUAACUGUCAUCGUAACGUUAAGCGUGCGGACCCUACGGUUCGAGAACAAUGUAGACAUGACCGAGACACGUCUCCGGUCAAUAACCAAUAGCUGGACCUGGAUGCCCAUAUUGGCUCCUACAUAUUCUACGAAGAUCUUUAUCGGUCAGACCGCAUAACAACAUACGUUGUUCCCUUUGUGAUUGGUAUGUUACUUGCCCGAGAUUCGAUCGUCGGUAUCCAAUACCUAGUUCAAUCUCGUUACCGGCAAUUCUCUUUACUCGUUCCGUAAUACAACAUCCCACAACUAACUUAUUAGUUGCAAUGCUUGCAAGGCUUAAGUGAUAUGCAUUACCGAGAGGGCCCAGAGAUACCUCUCUGACAAUCGGAGUGACAAAUCCUAUUCUCGAAAUACGCCAACCCAACAUCUACCAUUGGAGACACCUGUAGAGCUCCUUUAUAAUCACCCAGUUACGUUGUGACGUUUGGUAGCACACAAAGUGUUCCUCUGGCAAACGGGAGUUGCAUAAUCUCAUAGUCAUAGGAACAUGUAUAAGUCAUGAAGAAAGCAAUAGCAACAUACUAAACGAUCUGGUGCUAAGCUAAUGGAAUGGGUCAUGUCAAUAAGAUCAUUCAUCUAAUGAUGUGAUCCCAUUAAUCAAAUAACAACUCUUUGUCCAUGGUUAGGAAACAUAACCAUCUUUGAUUAACGAGCCAGUCAAGUAGAGGCAUACUAGUGACACUCUGUUUGUCUAUGUAUUCACACAUGUAUUAUGUUUCCGGUUAAUACAAUUCUAGCAUGAAUAAUAAAUAUUUAUCAUGAUAUAAGGAAAUAAAUAAUAACUUUAUUAUUGCCUCUAGGGCAUAUUUCCUUCAGUCUCCCACUUGCACUAGAGUCAAUAAUCUAGAUCACAUCACCAUGUGAUUAACAUCGAUAGUUCACAUCAUCAUGUGAUUAACACCCAUAGUUCACAUCGCCAUGUGACCAACACCCAAAGGGUUUACUAGAUUCAGUAAUCUAGUUCACAUCGCUAUGUGAUUAACACCCAAAGAGUACUAAGGUGUGAUCAUGUUUUGCUUGUGAGAGAAUCUUAGUCAACGGGUCUGCCACAUUCAGAUCCACAUGUAUUUUGCAAAUUUCUAUGUCAACAAUGCUCUGCAUGGAGCUACUCUAGCUAAUUGCUCCCACUUUCAAUAUGUAUCUAGACCGAGACUUAGAGUCAUCUAGAUUAGUGUCAAAACUUGCAUCAGCGUAACCCUUUACGACGAACCUUUUUAUUACGUCCAUAAUCGAGAAACAUAUCCUUAUUUCACUAAGGAUAAUUCUGAUCGCUGUCCAGUGAUCUACUCCUAGAUCACUAUUGUACUCCCUUGCCAAAUCAGUGCAGGGUAUACAAUAGAUCUGGUAUACAGCAUGACAUACUUUAUAGAACCUAUGGCCAAGGCAUAGGGAAUGACUUUCAUUCUCUUUCUAUCUUCUGCCGUGGUCGGGCUUCGAGUCAUACUCAACUUCACACCUUAUAAUACAGGCAAGAACUCUUUCUUUGACUGCUCCAUUUUGAACUACUUCAAAAUCUUGUCAAGGUAUGUACUCAUUAAAAAAACUUAUCAAGCGUCUUGAUCUAUCUCUAUAGAUCUUGAAGCUCAAUAUGUAAGCAGCUUCACCGAAGUCUUUCUUUGAAAAACUCCUUUCAAACACUCAUUUAUGCUUUACAGAAUAAUUCUACAUUAUUUCCGAUCAACAAUAUGUCAUUCACAUAUACUUAUCAGAAAUGUUGUAGUGCUCCCACUCACUUUCUUGUAAAUUCAGGCUUCACUGCAAGUCUGUAUAAAACUAUAUGCUUUGAUCAACUCAUCAAAGCGUAUAUUCCAACUCCGAGAUGCUUGCACCAGUCCACAGAUGGAUCGCUGGAGCUUGCACAUUUUGUUAGCACCUUUCGGAUUGACAAAACCUUCUGUUGCAUCAUAUACAACUCUUCUUUAAUAAAUCCAUUAAGGAAUGCAGUUUUGUUUAUCCAUUUGCCAGAUUUCAUAAAAUGCGGCAAUUACUAACAUGAUUCGGACAGACUCAAGCAUAGAUACGAGUGAGAAGCUCUCAUCGUAGUCAACACCUUGAACUUGUCGAAAACCUUUUGCGACAAUUCUAGCUUUGUAGAUAGUAACACUACUAUUAGCGUCCGUCUUCCUCUUGAAGGUCCAUUUAUUCUCAAUUGCUUGCCGAUCAUCGGGCAAGUCAACUAAAGUCCAAACUUUGUUCUCAUACAUGGAUCAUAUCUCAGAUUUCAUGGCCUCAAACCAUUUCGCGGAAUCUGAGCUCAUCAUCGCUUCCUCAUAGUUCGUAGGUUCGUCAUGGUCAAGUAACAUGACCUCCAGAACAGGAUUACCGUACCACUCUGGUGCGGAUCUCACUCUGGUUUACCUACGAGAUUCGGUAGUAACUUGAUCUGAAGUUACAUGAUCAUCAACAUUAGCUUCCUCACUAAUUGGUGUAGUAGUCACAAGAACAGAUUUUUGUGAUGAACUACUUUCCAAUAAGGUAGAAGGUAUAAUUACCUUAUCAAGUUUUUUACUUUCCUCCCACUUACUUCUUUCAAGAGAAACUCCUUCUCUAGAAAGGAUCCAUUAUAAGCAACGAAUGUCUUGCCUUAGGAUCUGUGAUAGAAGGUGUACCCAACAGUCUCCUUUGGGUAUCCUAUGAAGACAUAUUUCUCCGAUUUGGGUUUGAGCUUAUCAGGAUGAAACUUUUUCUCAUAAGCAUCGCAACCCCAAACUUCAAGAAACGACAACUUUGGUUUCUUGCCAAACCAUAGUUCAUAAGGCGUCGUCUCGACGGAUAUAGAUGGUGCCCCUUUUUUAACGUGAAUGCAACUGUCUCUAAUGCAUGACCCCAAAAACGAUAGUGGUAAAUCGGUAAGAAACAUCAUAGAUUGCACUAUAUCCAAUAAAGUACGGUUAUGACGUUCGAACACACCAUUAUGCUGUGGUGUUCCAGGUGGCGUGAGUAGUGAAACUAUUUCACAUUGUUUUAACUGAAGACCAAACUCAUAACUCAAAUACUCUUUUCCACGAUCAGAUCGUAGAAACUUUAUUUUCUUGUUACGAUGAUUUUCCACUUCACUCUGAAAUUAUAUGAACUUUUCAAAUGUAUCAGACUUCUAUUUCAUUAAGUAGAUAUACCCAUAUCUGCUCAAAUCAUUUGUGAAGGUCAGAAAAUAAUGAUACCCGCUGCAAGCCUUAAAUAUUCAUUGGACCACAUACAUCAGUAUGUAUGAUUUCCAACAAAUCUGUUGCUUGCUCCAUUGUUCCGGAGAACGGCGUUUUAGUCAUCUUGCCCAAAAGGCAUGGUUCGCAAGCAUCAAGUGAUUCAUAAUCAAGUGAUUCCGAAAGCACAUCAGCAUGGAGUUUCUUCAUGCGCUUUAUACCAAUAUGACCUAAACGGCAGUGCCACAAAUAAGUUGCACUAUCAUUAUUAACUUUGCAUCUUUUGGUUUCAAUAUUAUGAAUAUGUGUAUCACUACGAUCGAGAUCCAACGAACUUGUUUCAUUGGGUGUAUGACCAUCGAAGGUUUUAUUCAUGUAAACAGAACAACAAUUAUUCUCUGACUUUAAUGAAUAACCGUAUUGCAAUAAACAUGAUCAAAUCAUAUUCAUGCUCAACGCAAAAACCAAAUAACACUUAUUUAAGUUCAACACUAAUCCCGAAAGUAUAGGGGAGUGUGCGAUGAUGAUCAUAUCAAUCUUGGAACUACUUCCAACACACAUCGUCACUUCACCCUUAACUAGUCUCUGUUUAUUCUGCAACUCCUGUUUCGAGUUACUACUCUUAGCAACUAAACCAAUAUCAAAUACUGAGGGGUUGCUAUAAACACUAGUAAAGCACACAUCAAUAACAUGUAUAUCAAAUAUACUUUUGUUCACUUUGCCAUCCUUCUUAUCCGCCAAAUACUUGGGGCAGUUCCGCUUCCAGUGACCAGUCCCUUUGCAGUAGAAGUACUUAGUCUCAGGCUUAGGACCAGACUUGGGCUUCUUCACUUGAGCAGCAACUUGCUUGCCGUUCUUCUUGAAGUUCCCCUUCUUCCCUUUUGCCCUUUUCUUCAAACUAGUGGUCUUGUCAACCAUCAACACUUGAUGUUUUUCUUGAUUUCUACCUUCAUCGAUUUCAGCAUCACGAAGAGCUUGGGAAUCGUUUCCGUUAUCCCUUGCAUAUCAUAGUUCAUCAAGAAGUUCUACUAACUUGGUGAUGGUGACUAGAGAAUUCUGUCAAUCACUAUCUUAUCUGGAAGAUUAACUCCCACUUGAUUCAAGUGAUUGUAGUACCCAGACAAUCUGAGCACAUGCUCACUAGUUGAGCGAUUCUCCUCCAUCUUUUAGCUAUAGAACUUGUUGGAGACUUCAUAUCUCUCAACUCGGGUAUUUGCUUGAAAUAUUAACUUCAACUCCUGGAACAUCUCAUAUGGUCCAUGACGUUCAAAACGUCUUUGAAGUCCCGAUUCUAAGCCAUUAAGCAUGGCGCACUAAACUAUCAAGUAGUCAUCAUAUUGAGCUAGCCAAACGUUCAUAACGUCUGCAUCUGCUCCUGCAAUAGGUCUGUCACCUAGCGGUGUAUCAAGGACAUAAUUUUUCUGUGCAGCAAUGAGGAUAAACCUCAUAUCAUGGAUCCAAUCCGUAUCAUUGCUACUAACAUCUUUCAACACAAUUUUCUCUAGGAACAUAUCAAAAUAAACAUAUGAAAGCAACAACGCGAGCUAUUGAUCUUCAACAUAGAUAUGCUAAUACUACCAGGACUAAGUUCAUGAUAAAUUAAAGUUCAAUUAAUCAUAUUACUUAAGAACUCCCACUUAGAUAGACAUCCCUCUAAUCCUCUAAGUGAUCACGUGAUCCAAAUCAACUAAACCAUAACAGAUCAUCACGUGAGAUGGAGUAGUUUUCAAUGGUGAACAUCGUUAUGUUGAUCAUAUCUACUAUAUGAUUCAUGCUCGACCUUUCGGUCUCCGUGUUCCGAGGCCAUAUCUGCAUAUGCUAGGCUCGUCAAGUUUAACCUGAGUAUUCUGCGUGUGCAAAACUGGCUUGCACCCGUUGUAGAUGGACGUAGAGCUUAUCACACCCGAUCAUCACGUGGUGUCUGGGCACGACGAACUUUGGCAACGGUGCAUACUCAGGGAGAACACUUCUUGAUAAUUUAGUGAGAGAUCAUCUUAUAAUGCUACCGUCAAUCAAAGUAAGAUAAGAUGCAUAAAAAGAUAAACAUCACAUGCAAUCAAAAUAUGUGACAUGAUAUGGCCAUCAUCAUCUUGUGCCUUUGAUCGCCAUCUUCAAAGCAUCGUCAUGAUUUCCAUCGUCACCGGCAUGACAUCAUGAUCUCCAUCAUCUUGAUCUAUAUCAAUAUGUCGUCACAUGGUCGUCUCGCCAACUAUUGCUCUUGCAACUAUUGCUAUCGCAUAGCAAUAAAGUAAGGCAAUUAUUGGGCGCUUGCAUCUUAUGCAAUAGACAGACAACCAUAAGGCUUUUGCCAGUUGCCGAUAACUUCAACAAAACAUGAUCAUCUUAUACAACAACUUAUAACUCAUCACGUUUUGACCAUAUCACAUCACAACAUGCCCUGCAAAAACAAGUUAGACGUCCUCUACUUUGUUGUUGCAAAUUUUACGUGGCUGCUACGGGCUAAGAAAGAACCAAUCUUACCUACGCAUCAAAACCACAACGAUAGUUUGUCAAAUAGACUCCGUUUUAACCUUCGCAAGGAUCGGGCGUAGCCACACUCGGUUCAACUAAAGUUGGAGAAACAGUCACCCGCAAGUCACCUAUGUGCAAAGCACGUCGGGGAAACCGGUCUCGCGUAAGCGCACGCGUAAUGUCGGUCCGGGCCGCUUCAUCCAACAAUACCGCCGAACCAAAGUAUGACAUGCUGGUAGGCAGUAUGACUUAUAUCGCCCACAACUCACUUGUGUUCUACUCGUGCAUAUAACAUCAAACCAUAAAACCUAGGCUCGGAUGCCACUGUUGGGGAACGUAGUAAUUUCAAAAAAUUUCCUACGCACACGCAAGAUCAUGGUGAUGCAUAGCAACGAGGGGGAGAGUCUGAUCUACGUACCCUUGUAGAUCGCAACGGAAGCGUUGACACAACGUAGAGGAAGUAGUCGUACGUCUUCUUCCCGAUCCGACCAAUCCAAGCACCGUUACUCCGGCACCUCCGAGUUCUUAGCACACGUACAGCUCGAUGACGAUCCCCGGGCUCCGAUCCAGCAAAGCUUCGGGGAGGAGUUCCGUCAGCACGACGGCAUGGUGACGAUCUUGAUGUUCUACCGACGCAGGGCUUCGCCUAAGCACUACAACGAUAUGAUCGAGGUGGAAUAUGGUGGUAGGGGGCACCGCACACGGCUAAGGAACGAUCUCAAUGAUCAACUUGUGUGUCUAGAGGUGCCCCCUGCCCCUGUAUAUAAAGGAGCCAAGGGGGAGGGGUGCGCCGGCCAGGGAGAGGGCGCAGGAGGAGUCCUACUCCCACCUGGAGUAGGACUCCCCCCCCCAAUCCUAGUUGGACUAGGUUUCCCAAAGGGAGAAAGAGAGAGAGGGGGGGCCGGCCACUUCUCCUAGUCCUAAUAGGACUAAGGGAAGGGGGGUGCGUGGCCACCUAUGGGCUGCCCCUUUUCUCUUUUCCACUAAGGCCCAUGAAGGCCCAUAUGGCUCCCGGGGUGUUCCGGUAACCUCCCGGUAAUCCGGUAAAAUCCCGAUUUCACCCGGAACACUUCCGAUAUCCAAAUAUAGGCUUCCAAUAUAUCAAUAUUUAUGUCUCGACCAUUUUGAGACUCCUCGUCAUGUCCGUGAUCACAUCCGGGACUCCGAACAACCUUCGGUACAUCGAAAUGCAUAAACUCAUAAUAACUGUCAUCAUAACGUUAAGCGUGCGGACCCUACGGUUCGAGAACAAUGUAGACAUGACCGAGACACGUCUCCGGUCAAUAACCAAUAGCGGGACCUAGAUGCCCAUAUUGGCUCCUACAUAUUCUACGAAGAUCUUUAUCGGUCAGACCGCAUAACAACAUACGUUGUUCCCUUUGUCAUCGGUAUGUUACUUGCCCGAGAUUCGAUCGUCGGUAUCCAAUACCUAGUUCAAUCUCGUUACCGGCAAGUCUCUUUACUCGUUCCGUAAUACAACAUCCCGCAACUAACUUAUUAGUUGCAAUGCUUGCAAGGCUUAAGUGAUGUGCAUUACCGAGAGGGCCCAGAGAUACCUCUCCGACAAUCGGAGUGACAAAUCCUAUUCUCGAAAUACGCCAACCCAACAUCUAUCAUUGGAGACACCUGUAGAGCUCCUUUAUAAUCACCCAGUUACGUUGUGACGUUUGGUAGCACACAAAGUGUUCCUCCGGCAAACGGGAGUUGCAUAAUCUCAUAGUCAUAGGAACAUGUAUAAGUCAUGAAGAAAGCAAUAGCAACAUACUAAACGAUCGGGUGCUAAGCUAAUGGAAUGGGUCAUGUCAAUCAGAUCAUUCAUCUAAUGAUGUGAUCCCAUUAAUCAAAUAACAACUCUUUGUCCAUGGUUAGGAAACAUAACCAUCUUUGAUUAACGAGCCAGUCAAGUAGAGGCAUACUAGUGACACUUUGUUUGUCUAUGUAUUCACACAUGUAUUAUGUUUCCGGUUAAUACAAUUCUAGCAUGAAUAAUAAAUAUUUAUCAUGAUAUAAGGAAAUAAAUAAUAACUUUAUUAUUGCCUCUAGGGCGUAUUUCCUUCAUAGGCUACAUUCUGCAAACUUAAAUAGUACUCAUAGAAGACAAUGAAGAACAACUUGCAACAAUUUGCAUACCAACUGAAAUAGCUCCCUUAUUGGGAAAAUAUAAGGAUUUCUUUACAAAACCUACAAAGCUUCCUCCUUCUAGGGACUAUAACCACCAAAUACAUUUGAAACCAGGAGCACAACCACAAAAUUGAAGGCCUUCUAGGGUACCACACUAUCAGAAAUCCUUCAUGGAGGAGAUUAUUAAAACUAUGGUAAAGAAAUGUGAAAUACAGGUUAGCUUGAGUCCUUUUCUCUUCUCCCGCUGUAAUGGUUAGGAAAAAAGAUGGAGGACGGAGACUUUGUGUGGAUUACAGGGAACUUAUUUCUGUUACUACUAAGAACAAGUUUCCCAUGUCAGUAGUUGAAGAUCUAUUAUGAACUGCAUUGAGCAAAAAUAUUCACUAAACUAGAUCUUAGGUCUAUGUAUCAUCAAAUUAGAAUGGCCACAUAUGGCAUUCGUAAGACUACCUUCAAGACACAUAAGUGACACUAUGAGUAUACAAUAAUGCCCUUUGGAUUGACUACUAUCCCAACCACAUUUCAGAAUUAUAUGAAUUCCAUGCUUGGGCCUUAUUUGAGGAAGUAUAUUCUGGUUUUCUUUGAUGAUAUUCUAAUUUACAACAACUCCAUGGAAGAGCAUAUCAUUCAUUUGGAGCAAACUUUACAAUCUUUUAGGAAAACCAACUCUCUGUGAAAAAUAUCCAAAGGCUCUUGUAACACCCCGGAUGUAAUUUACCUUAUCUGUACUCCAACUCUUGCCGUUUCCGGUACUAACUUAUUCUAUUUCCUCGUUGUCGGGUUUUUGUCUCCGUGUGUUUUGUAUUUGUCAUGCAUCUUAUAUCAUGUCAUCAUGUGCAUUGCAUUUGCAUACGUGUUCGUCUCAUGCAUCCGAGCAUUUCCCCGUUGUCUGUUUUGCAUUCCGGUGCUCCUAUGUCCUCCGGUGGACUUUUCUACCUCUUUUCGUGUGUGGGCGUUAAACAUUUCCGGAUUGGACCGAGACUUGUCAUGCGGCCUUGGUUUACUACCGGUAGACCACCUGUCAAGUUUCGUGCCAUUUGGACUUCGUUUGAUACUCGAACGGUUAACCGAGGGACCGAAAAGGCCUCGUGUGUGUUGCAUCCCAACACCCCUCCAAACUGCCCCAAAACCCACCUAAACCUCUCCCAUCAUCUAGAGCGUUCGACCACGAUCGGGUGACCGCAAACAGCACCUCAUUCGGAGCUUCCUAGCUCCUCCUACCUCUAUAUAAAGACCUUCCCCCGAAUUUUCGGGUCACAACACCCCUAACCCUAGUCCCCUUCGUCCUCAGCGCGCCGAACAUUGUCCGCCGGCGCCGGACACACCGCCGCGGCCAACCGCCUCUUGCCACGUGUUCCCGCUGGAUCCCACACCGCCGCAGCCCGCCCGGCCCGUAGCCGGCCCCCGAGGGCCCGAGCCGCGCCGUCCUUCUUCUUCCUCCCGCGCCGCCCGCGCCCUGGUGCGCCGCUGCCUCCGCCGCCGAUUUCGACGGGCCACCGCCGCCGUCCCCUCCCCAGCCGCCGCCCAUGCCGCGGCCGAGCCCUCCCGCGCCCGCCUCCGCCUCGGAUGCCGGUCCUCCUCGCCAUCAAGUCCCUCCUCGCCGGCCUCCGCAGCUCCGGCGAUCGCCGGUCGUCAAGUCCACCUCCUGCCGCCUCCCUCUUCUCUCCGGUGAACAGUGUGCUCCGGUGAACCUCAGGAUCCGCGCCCGGCUAGAUCUGGAUCUGGAGACGGUUGACUUUUCCCCCGAAACCCUAGCUAAUUUGCAUACUUUGACAUGCCAUAACUCUGCAUCUGUAGCUCCGAUUCGUGCGUGUAGCAUAUCAAAAUGUUUGUCUCGACGAGUACAUCAUUUCAUCUCAUUGCAUCAUUUUCAUUUGAGCUCAUCUUGAUGCCCGAAAUGCUGUUCGAAGAGGGCUAUGUGAGGAAUAUUUCAGAUCUAUUUCAGCAAAUGGCCUUUUGUCAUUUUUUACAUGAUUAAUGUGUGCAUGCUAUGAUCCUGAGCUCUACAUGUGUUUUGUAGAAUGACAUGCCAUCUUUACGGAGGUGUAUGCCAUGUAUUUUUGUGAUAUUUGUGGUGACUAGAACAAGCAUGCAAAGUAGCCUACUCGUUGAUGCUGAUUUCGGGGACUUAGAAUUUCACCAAGUCCUUGUCCUGAUUUUGUUUUUAUGCCAUAUGUUCAUAUUGUUUCCUAGUGAUCCGUGCCUCUUUUGAGGAUGAUCAGUAAGGAUGUUUUGUUAACAUUGUGGUGCUCUAUCCAUCCAUGUCUUUGUUUGCAAUUAUGGAGCACCCUAGCUUGAGUCAAUCGAGCUCUACUUUUGCUAUAAAAUUAUCCUGGCAGAUUGUUGACAUGUUUAGCGAUUUUGCCGAGGAUGUUGCUAUUGAUCCGUGCAUGCUAUGUUGUUGUUCUUGCCAUGUCUAGUUUCUAUGCCAUGUCUUCUUGAUGGGUGUAUGCUUAGUUUGUCAUGCCAUGCUCUGUAGUGAGUGCAUCGAGCUCGUAAACUUGCCUACUUGUUAAUCUGUUUGCAUGCUCCAGUUUUUCACAAAGUCUGAAUCUGUUUGUAUUUUUGCUAUGUUCACAUGCUUGCAAUUGUAUAUUCUGAUCCCUUUUAGCUCAUGGUCACUAAGGGACUUUUGUUAUAUGCUUAGAGUAGCUUCAUGCCAUGCCUUUCUUUGCCAUGAUAUGUUCCUGUAGCAUGUAGUUUUCAUGCUGUAAAGUGUGCUUCCUGAUGAUAAAUUCCAGGCUUGUGUUAAUUUCACUAAGUCUGAAACCAGUAAUCUUUUGCACUUUUGCCAUGCUUGUUUGAACCUGUUAAUGAGUGAAUUAGCCAUAGCUCAGUGUUCAUCUUUUGUCAAGCUUCAUGAGUGGAUCUCUGCCAUGUAUUUUGUUUUCAUGUUUGAGUGCUGUAGCAUAUUUAUCUUGUUGCAUUUAGAUGGUUACUUGCUGAUUAUCGCAUACCGGUGCCAUAUUUGUUUUGCUUGCCAUUUCCAAACGGCGCAUCCGAUUCCGGUGAUCUUUAUAUCGAUUUCGACCGAAAUCAUAUCACCUUUACAGUGUCACUCUUGGUUUUCUAAGUUGAGGCUAGGUUCAAUCAUUCCUUUGCAAAUCUUGUAUAUGCAUCACAUAUCGCAUCCCGCAUAUCAUACCAUGUUUGCAUCAUGUUGCUUGAGCAUUGCACGUCAUUGAUUGUGUUCCUUUUGCUUGUUGUUCUUUUUUGGGUAGAGCCGGGAGACGAGUUCAUGUACGAGGAGCCCGUUGAGUUCUCUUACGAGGAUCAAGGCAACUCUAAGAACUUUGCAGGCAAGAUGACCAUACCCUCGAAAUCACUUCUAUCUUUGCUUGCUAGAUGCUCGCUCUUUUGCUAUGCCUAUGCUACGAUACCUACCACUUGCUUAUCAUGCCUCCCAAAAUGCCAUGUCAAACCUCUAACCCACCAUGUCCUAGCAAACCGUUGUUUGGCUAUGUUACCGCUUUGCUCAGCCCCUCUUAUAGCGUUGCUAGUUGCAGGUGAAGAUUGGAGAUCGUUCCUUGUUGGAACAUGUUUAUUGUUGGGAUAUCACCAUAUUAUCUUGUUUAUCUUAAUGCACCUAUAUACUUGGUAAAGGGUUAGAGUUUAGAGUUUGGCACAUACAAAUUUACUUGGAACGACAGGUAGAUACCGCAUAUAGGAAGGUAUGGUGGACUCAUCUGGAAUAACUUUGGGGUUUAAGGGAUUGGAUGCACAACUAGUAUUCCCGCUUAGUACAGGUGAAGGCUAGCAAAAGACUGGGAAGCGACCAACUAGAGAGCGACAACAGCCAUGUACAUGCAUUAAAAUUAAUAAACAUUGGAUGCAAGCAUGAGUAGGAUAUAAUCCACCAUGAACAUAAAUAUCAUGAAGGCUAUGUUGAUUUUGUUUCAACUACAUGCGUGAACAUGUGCCAAGUCAAGUCACUUAAAUCAUUCAAAGGAGGAUACCACCCCAUCAUACCACAUCAUAAUCAUCUCAAUAGCAUGUUGGCAUACAAGGUAAAUCAUUAUAACUCAUAGCUAAUCAAGCAUGGCAUAAGCAACUAUGAUCUCUAAUUGCCAUUGCAAACAUGUUUAUUCAUAAGCUGAAUCAAGAACAACGGGCUCAUCAUAUUUACAAAAACAAAAGAGGUCAAGUUCAUACCAGCUUUUCUCAUCUCAGUCAGUCCAUCAUAUAUCAUCAUAAUUGCCUUUCACUUGCACGACCGAACGGUGUGAAUAAUAAUAAUAGUGCACGUGCAUUGGACUAAGCUGGAAUCUACGAGCAUUCAAUAAACAUGAGACGACAAGGCAAUAUGGGCUCUUUGGUUAAUUCAACAAUAAUGCAUAUAAGAGCCACUUCAACAAUUUAAUUAUGGUCUUCUCCUACUGACCCCCAAAGAAAAGGAAAGAAAUAAAACUAUUUACACGGGAAAGCUCACAACAAGCAGAAGAAGAACGGGAAAUAUUUUUGGGUUUUCUUUUUAGUUAUUACUACUACAGCAGAAAAAUAAACUACUACUAUUUUUUUUGGUUUUUCUUAAGGUUUAACAAACACACAAGAAGAAAGCAUAAAAAAGAAAAUAAACUAGCAUGGAUAUUACAGUGAAAAAGUAUGAGCACCGACAUCUAGCAAUGAGUGUGUGUGAACAUAAAUGUAAUGUCGGUGAGAAAUACGUACUCCCCCAAGCUUAGGCUUUUGGCCUAAGUCGGUCUAUGGCCACGGCUGGCCUGGCGGAUAUCCAUAAUAAUAGUUGUUGGGGUCAUACUGUGAUGAAGAGGAAUAGUUGGAAUCAUGCUGUGAUGAAGAAGAAGACUCUGACUACCACUGGCUGACAGUCAUCUCUGGACCCCAAGAAUAAACAGAUUGUCGCGGAGGCUCAUCUUGUGGUUCCUGUUCUGGCUCCUCGACUGGUGCAGGGUUCCGGUAGGCGUGAAUAGCCGUCAAUAGAACAAGGUACGUGCCUACAGUCGAAUCAAACAAAGAAGGAGCAGGCAAGGUAAUAGUCUCAGGAUGAUGUUUAUUAAAGAACAAUUGAUAUCUAAGCUCCCCUGCCCUAUUUUAACAAUAAAAUCAUGUUCCACCAUACUUUUAUGAUCUAGAUAAACAUGGGGUAGCACUUUUUCUUCCUUCUCAGCAUGCCUAAUAGGUAUGUUAAAAUGUGCUGCUAGGCGUGUGGCAUAAAUGCCUCCAAAGAUGGGGCCCUUAGUAUGGUUCAUAUUUAACCGUCUAGCAAUAAUACCGCCCAAACUAAAAGUGUUAUCACUAUAUAAACCUUGGAGCAGAAUAAUUAAAUCAGGGAUACUAAGGUUUCCAGAAUUUCCGCGUCCAACUAAACAAUGACUAGCAAAUAAUGCAAAGUAACGCAAAACAGGAAAAUGUAUGCUAGUGAUUCGUGCAUCGGAAACCUUCCUGGUUUCUCCUACAAUGAUAUUAUCAAUAAACCCAGCCACAUCAUCAUGAUGUGGUUCUUCUGUCUUGCCCUCAAAAGGGACUAAACAAAUCCGACAGAAAUCAUAAAGUGACAUCUCCUUAGGUUCAUCAUAUAAAUGAAAUUCCACCGUAGGUGGUGAGUUCCUAGGAUGAAAAUAAAAGUUUUGCACAAAGGUAUUUGUGAGUAAGAGAUACUGAUCGCAUUGGUCGUGGAGGAAAGUGGUGAGGCCUGCAUUGUGAGCCAAUUCAUGAAAAUCUUCAUAGAUACCGGUUGCUCUCAAGAAAUCUUCAGAAGACCAUUCACACACCCGAAUCUCCGCGGUGCGUGGCAAAUUAUACUUAGGCUUAGGUGCCUUUUCCUUUGAGCUUUGGCUUGAUGAGCCCCUCAAUAAUCUCCUCAUAAUUUUUCUGAAACAAUCUGAAAUUUUUAGUAACUUCAAAAUAAAAGUAAACCAAACUCAAUAAAACUGAUAGUAACUACUCCUACAAGUGCCUAGAGCCUAUAUCAAGCAUUAGAACUACCUGGAACCAUAUAAAUUUGACAUGCAAGCUCAAGAACAUGGUCACCUAUGCAGCACAAAUUUGCAAUGAAUAAAGCACUAGAACAAAAACUAAUUGGACCAAUGGAGGAGUCACAUACCAAGGAACAAUCUCCCCAAGCAGUUUUGCGAGAGGUGCUUUGAGCAAGGAGAUUGAAAAUCACAGCAAAAGUGGCUGGAACUCGUGCUUGAGUUGGUUUUUCGGGUUUGUGUGAGAUAGAGGAAGAAGAUGGGUGCUGGGAUAAGUGGAGGAGGGCCACCGUUGGCCCACGAGGCAGGGGGCGCGCCCACCACCCUCGUGGCCAGGUGGCAGCUCCUCCCGCGGUAAUUUUUGCACAGUAAAUUCUCAAAUAUUCCCGAAAAAAUCAUAUUAAAUUGGCAUGGCAUUCUGAGGACUUUUAUUUUCGGGAUAUUUUUAUAUUGCAAGGAUAAGUCAGGAAACAGACAGAAAAUACUAUUUUUACUUUAUUUAAUAUAAAUAACAGAAAGUAAAAGUGGGGUACAGAAGCUUGUGCUUCUAGUUUCAUCCAUCUCAUGCUCAUCAAAAAGAAUCCACUAACAAGGUUGAUCAAGUCUUGUUAACAAACUCAUUCCGAUAAUCAUGAAACCGGAGAAAUUUCGAAUAACACUAAGUUACCUCAACGGGGAUAUGCACAUCCCCAAUAAUAAGAAUAUCAUAUUUCUUCUUGACAGUAGGAAGAGCAAAUUCAAAACCUCCAAAUAUAAUUGAUGGAAUUUUUCCAAUUGAGUUGAUACUAUGAACUUGAGGUUGUUUCCUCGGAAAGUGUACCGUAUGCUCAUUACCAUUAACAUGAAAAGUGACAUUGCCUUUGUUGCAAUCAAUAAUAGCCCCUACAGUAUUAAGAAAAGGUCUUCCAAGAAUAAUAGACAUACUAUCAUCCUCGGGAAUAUCAAGAAUAACAAAGUCCGUUAAAAUAGUAUCGUUUGCAACCACAACAGGCACAUCCUCACAAAUACCGACAGGUAUAAUAGUUGAUUUAUCAGCCAUUUGCAAAGAUAUUCGGUAGGUGUCAACUUAUUCAAGUCAUGUCUACGAUAUAAAGAGAGAGGCAUAACACUAACACCGGCUCCAAGAUCACAUAAAGCAGUUUUAAUAUAAUUUCUUUUAAUGGAGCAAGGUAUAGUAGGUACUCCGGGGUCUCCAAGUUUCUUUGGUAUUCCACCCUUAAAAGUAUAAUUAGCAAGCAUGGUGGAAAUCUCUGCUUUCGGUAUCUUUAUUUUAUUAGUCAUGAUAUCUUUCAUAUAUUUAGCAUAAGGAUUUGUUUUGAGCACAUCAGUUAAUCUCAUACGCAAAAAGAUAGGCCUAAUCAUUUCAGCAAAGCGCUCAAAAUCCUCAUCAUCCUUUUUCUUGGAUGGUUUCGGAGGAAAAGGCAUGGGUUUCUGAACCCAAGGUUCUCUUUCUUUACCAUGUUUCCUAGCAACAAAGUCUCUUUUAUCAUAACGUUGAUUCUUUGAUUGUGGGUUAUCAAGAUCAACAACAGGUUCAAUUUCUACAUCAUUGUCAUUACUAGGUUGAGCAUCAUCAUGAACAUUAUCAUUAAUAUUUUUACUAGGUUCAUGUUCAUUACCAGAUUGUGUUUCAGCAUCAGACACAGAUAUAUCAUUUGGAUUAUCAGGUGGUUCAGCAAUAGGCUCAGUAGAAGUUUGUGUAGUUCUAUCAUUUUUCUUUUUCUUCUUUUUAGAAGAACUAGGAACAUCAAUAUUAUUUCUCUGAGAAUCUUCCUCGAUUCUCUUAGGGUGGCCUUCGGGAUACAAAGGUUCCUGAGUCAUUCUACCAGUUCUAGUGGCCACUCUAACAGCAUAAUCAUUUUUCUUACUAUUCAUUUCAUCAAGCACUUCUUUUUGAGCUUUAAGUACUUGUUCUACUUGAGUGGUAACCAUAGAAGCAUGUUUGCUAAUAAGUUUAAGUUCACCUUUAAUAUCAGCCAUAUAAUCACCCAAGCGUCUAAUCAUAUAAGCAUUUUCUUUUAAUUGUCUACCAAAAUAAGCAUUGAAGUCAUCUUGCUUAAACAUAAAGUUAUCAAACUCAUCCAAACACUAACUAGCAAUUUUAGUAAGAGGGACUUCAGCUUUAUCAUAUCUAUAGAGAGAAUUUACCUUUACUACCUAUGUCGAGAUACCGGGAUCAGGAGGUUCUUCAGUAAAUAAAUAAUUGGGAUCAUAUGUUUCUUCAACAGGUGGUGAAUUAAGACCAUGUAUUUCUUCAAUAGGAGGUAAAUUCUUAACGUCUUCAGCUUUAAUACCUUUUUCUUUCAUAGAUUUAUUUGCCUCUUGCAUAUCUUCGGGACUGAGAAAUAAAACACCUCUCUUCUUCGGAGUUGGUUUAGGGAUAGGCUCAGUAGUUGGAGCAGGAGCUGGCUCAGGAGGUGCCCAAUUAUUUUCAUUUGUCAACAUAUUAUUCAAUAGAAUUUCAGCUUCAUCCGGUGUUCUUUCCCUGAAAAGAGAACCAGCACAACUAUCCAGGUAAUCUCUGGAAGCAUCAGUUAGUCCAUUAUAAAAGAUAUCAAGUAUUUCAGGUUUCUUAAGAGGAUGAUCAGGCAAAGCAUUAAGUAACUUGAGAAGCCUCCCCCAAGCUUGUGGGAGACUCUCUUCUUUAAUUUGCACAAAGUUGUAUAUUUCCCUCAAAGCAGCUUGUUUCUUAUGAGCAGGGAAAUAUUUAGCAAAGAAGUAAUAAAUCAUAUCCUGGGGACUACGCACACAAGCAGGAUCAAGAGAAUUAAACCAUAUCUUAGCAUCGCCCUUUAAUGAGAAUGAAAAUAUUUUGAGUAAAUAGAGGUAACGUGAUCUCUCGUCAUUAGUGAACAGGGCAGCUAUAUCAUUUAAUUUAGUAAGAUGUGCCACAACAAUUUCAGAUUCAUAGCCAUAAAACGGAUCGGAUUCAACCAAAGUAAUUAUAUCAGGAUCAACAGUGAAUUCAUAAUCCUUAUCAGGAACACAUAUAGGUGAAGUAGCAAAAGAGGGUCGGGUCUCAUUCUAUCUCUUAGUGAUUCUUUGUUCCAUUUAAUUAAUAACCUCUUAAGCUCAUAUCUAUCUCUGCAAGCUAAAAUAGCUAAAGAAGCAUCUUGAUCAAAUAAAUAACCCUCAGGAAUAACAGGCAUAUUUUCAUCAUCACUAUCAUCAUCGUAUUCAGAUUCAAUAAUUUCUCUUUCUCUAGCCCUAGUACUUUGUUCAUCAAUAAAUUCACAAAGGGGCACAGUAGUAUCAGGCAUAGAAGCAGUUUCAUCAUAAGUAUCAUGCAUAGCAGAAGUGGCAUCAUCAAUAACAUGCGACAUAUCAGAACGAAUAGCAGAAGCAGGUGUAGGUGUCACAAACUUACUCAUAACAGAAGGUGAAUCAAGUGCAGAGCUAGAUGGCAGUUUCUUACCUCCCCUCGUAGUUGAGGGAUAGAUCUUGGUUUUUGGAUCUCUCAAGUUCUUCAUAGUGUCCAGCAGAUAUAAAUCCCAAGUGACUCAAAGAAUAGAGCUAUGCUCCCCGGCAACGACGCCAGAAAAAGGUCUUGAUAACCCACAAGUAUAGGGGAUCGCAACAGCUUUCGAGGGUAGAGUAUUCAACCCAAAUUUAUUGAUUCGACACGGGGAGCCAAAGAAUAUUCUCAAGUAUUAGCAGCUGAGUUGUCAAUUCAACCACACCUGGAAACUUAGUAUCUGCAGCAAAGUGUUUAGUAGCAAAGUAAUAUGAUAGUGGUGGUAGCGGCAACAAAAGUAAAGACAACAAAAGUAAUAUUUUUGGUAUUUUGUAGUGAUUGUAACAGCAGCAACGGAAAAGUAAAUAAGCAUAAACCAGUAUAUGGAAAACUCGUAGGCACCGGAUCAGUGAUGGAUAAUUAUGCCGGAUGCAGUUCAUCAUGUAACAGUCAUAACAUAAGGUGACACAGAACUAGCUCCAAUUCGUCAAUGUAAUGUAGGCAUGUAUUCCAUAUAUAGUCAUACGUGCUUAUGGAAAAGAACUUGCAUGCCAUCUUUUGUCCUACCCUCCCGUGGCAGCAAGGUCCUAUUGGAAACUAAGGGAUAUUAAGGCCUCCUUUUAAUAGAGAACCGGAACAAAGCAUUAGCACAUAGUGAAUACAUGAACUCCUCAAACUACGGUCAUCACCGGUAAGUAUCCUGAUUAUUGUCACUUCGGGGUUAACGGAUCAUAACACAUAAUAGGUGACUAUAGACUUGCAAUAUAGGAUCUAGAACUCUCAUAUAUUCAUGAAAACAUAAUAGGUUCAGAUCUGAAAUCAUGGCACUCGGGCCCUAGUGACAAGCAUUAAGCAUAGCAAAGUCAUAACAACAUCAAUCUCAGAACAUAGUGGAUACUAGGGAUCAAACCCUAACAAAACUAACUCGAUUACAUGAUAAAUCUCAUCCAACCCAUCACCGUCCAGCAAGCCUACGAUUGAAUUACUCACGCACGGCGGUGAGCAUCAUGAAAUUGGUGAUGGAGGAUGGUUGAUGAUGACGGCGGCGACGAAUCCCCCUCUCCGGAGCCCCGAACGGACUCCAGAUCAGCCCUCCCGAGAGGUUUUAGGGCUUGGCGGCGGCUCCGUAUCGUAAAAUGUGAUAAUUUCUUCUCUCUGAUUUUUUUUCUCCGAAAGCAAAUAUAUAGAGUUGGAGUUGGCGUCGGAGUUUCUCCAGGGGGCCCACAAGGUAGGGGGCGCGCCCCCCACCCUCGUGAGAAGGGUGUGGGCCCCCUGGUCUUCAUAUUUGGCGAGGAUUUUUUAUUAUUUUUUCUAACACCUCCCGUGGAGUUUCAGGUCAUUCCAAGAAUAUUUGUUUUCUGCACAUAAAACAACAUCAUGGUAAUUCUGCUGAAAACAGCAUCAGUCCGGGUUAGUUCCAUUCAAAUCAUACAAGUUAGAGUCCAAAACAAGGGUAAAAGUGUUUGGAAAAGUAGAGACGACAGAGACGUAUCAUCUUGUAACUGGGAUGCCAAGUCUAAUCGGAUUAUCUUGGGAGAAGGAAUAUCCUUCGUUGACCGUGAGAGCUUGUGAUGGGAUAAGUUGGGACUCCCCUGCAGGGAUUUGAACUUUCGAAAGCCAUGCCCGCGGUUACGGGCAGAUGGGAAUUUCUUAAUGUCCGGUUGUAGAUAACAUGAAACUUAACUUAAUUAAAAUGCAUCAACCGUGUGUGUAACCGUGAUGGUCUCUUCUCGGCAGAGUCCGGGAAGUGAACAUGGUGUUGGAGUAAUGCUUGACGUAGGUUGUUCUAGGAUCACUUCUUGAUCAUAGUUGUUCGACCGUGCUUUUGCCUUCUCUUCUCGCUCUCUUUUGCAAAUAUGUUAGCCACCAUAUAUGCUAGUCGUUUGCUACAGCUCCACAUCAUACCUUUACCUUACCUAUAAGCUUAAAUAGUCUUGAUCGCAAGGGUGCGAGAUUGCUGAGUCCCCGUGACUCACAGAUUCCUUCCUAAACCAGAUGCAGGGACCGAUGAUACCGCUCCAGACGAUGCGCUUGAGCUCAAGUGGGAGUUCGAUGAAGACUCUCGUCGUUACUAUGUGUCUUUCCCAGAUGAUCAGUAGUGGUGCCCAGUUGGGGCGAUCGGGGACUUUGUCGCAUUUGGGGGUUGAUCUUUAUUUUCGUACCGUAGUCGGACCCUGAGUGUAUUGGAUGAAUGUAAUGACUUAAUUAUGUAUUUGUGUGAUGUGGCGAGUGUAAGCCAACUAUGUACCUUUUCCCCUUUAUUUAUUACAUGGGAUAUUGUGAAGAUUACCUCACUUGCGACAUUGCUUUCAAUGCGGUUAUGCCUCUAAGUCCUUCUUCGACACGUAGGAGAUAUAGCCGCAUCGAGGGCGUUACAAGUUGGUAAUCAGAGCCUUCCCCGACCAUAGGAGCCCCCUGCUUGAUCGAAUCGUUGGCGUUGCUGAGUCUAGAAAAAAGUUUUGAGUCAUUUAGGAAUUAUAUAUCAGAGAGUAGGACUUCUUUUUACUCCCUAGUCCCUUCAUCGCUCUGGUAAGGCAUCCUAACGUAGAGUUUUGACUCUUCUCUUCUCAAAUUUCACUAAAAAAAAUUUAGGAUCACGCGGGUAUCUUGGAAUCAUUCCGAUGGUUUUGUGACGAGAACAUUGUUCUUGGUGCCUCCUGACAUUUAGGGGUUGUGGCAGUGUCUCGGGGAGUUGAGCUCCGAGGUGUUGUCGUCACAAUUUUAUCGUUGAGAUUCUGGAAUACCUGAGUUUCACCAACAUCAAAAAUCUCUUUUAUGCAGUUGUUGGUGAGAUAACCUCGACGCCACCCAGUACUGGGGCGGGAGUUCGGUAGUAUUGCCAUAACUUGUAUAACGGAUGCUUUUCGAAGGUUGAGGUAAAUGAUUUUUGAAGGUUUCUUGGUUAUGUGUUGAAGGAUGGAUACAGCUGGAUGUAGGAUUUGCUAGCUUUGGGUGAGAUAUUAUGCUUCCCCUGUAUCCCCAAUACCUGAUUGCAUAACCGGAAAGGUUCGGGAGUUUCAUAGGUGGGAAUUCUUGUAGCUCUAGUUCUUCUUCCGCGGAUAUUUGGUUUGGGUUUGGGUAAUCCUCACCAAGUAUUUGUUCUUGUCCGUACCUUGUUUUUUUUAUUCUUUUACCUCAAUUCUAAGUGGCUUCUCAAUUUAUGGAAAUGUGACCAUUUCAAUUGGAAGGCAUUCGUUCAUUUUGUUCGGAUGUGAAGACUUUAUGUUGCAAUUUCUAUUCGUUGGAUUCAGCUUCAAUAUUUUGCCUGUCAAUAUGCUAAUGGAUGUCACCCUCUUCAGGAUGGCUCCUGCUAAGGGCAACAAUCAGAAUCAGAAUCAGGAUCCGCCACCACCACCUCCACCUCCGGAGGCAUGGCAAGCUGUGAUGGCCGCUACCAAUGCAAACACGCAGCUGAUCAUGCAAAUUCUGCAAGAGCGCAACCAAGGUCAUGGCAACAAUCAGAAUCAGUUUGCUACACUCAACCAGUUCCUCGCUAACCAGCCAAAGACCUUCAACAACUGUGUCGAGGCCUUAGACGCUGAUGAUUGGCUCGUGGACUGGUUACCAACUUGUAACGCCCAAUUUUUGGGUUUUCUUUUUUUUGUUACAUUCAAUUUUCAGAUUAUUGUAGUCAACUGGAUGCACAUUGUCAGAUUCUUCUAGACACUAGGUCCCAAACAUCAGGUUUUAAUUUUUCACAACUUGUAACUCAAUGAUAUACCAAUCAGAGAACACAUUUUAAAUAUAUUCAAAUAACAGCCAAAUCACCAAUAUACCAAUCAAGUUUAUUAUAUUCCACCAAUCACAAUAUAACCAUACAAUAUUACACCAAUCACAAUAUAGCACUCUACAGAUAAAACGCUCAACAAGUAUAGGCACGUCUCCAACACCUUAGCGCCUUGAGCCUGCAAAUCACAUCCAGCCACAUAUUAAUGAUCAAAUCAAUUCACCCCUUGAUGGCAAUAAAAAACGGUGCUCAUGUAUGAACGAAAAUAAAAUAAACAAUCUUUGAGGCCAUAGCAUGUGCUACAAAAAUCUUAACAAAUGCAUAGAUGUCCACACAGAGCACAUCCUACAUGCACCAAGCAUCAGGCAUAUGUUCAAGAAGACAAGUAAUUUGAGAUGGAAACAAGUACAUCUAACAAUUUGACAUGUGUAGUAGCACCAGCAAAAGAGCAAGACAUGGAAGAAUUUACAAGAACAACACCUUGGGAGUCCAAUUACAUGUACAUGAGGUACUUCUGCUAGUGUAUAACAAAGCAAGAGUCCAGCUUGUGUAGGAGCAGAGCAUGAGUCCAACAAAGCAUGCUAUAGGAGUAGAAAAGAGGGAGCUAGGGGUAGGAGAUGGAGCCAGCUCACCGAAGAACUUGGGAGUCCAUCUUGGGUCCUUGUUAAUCUGCUGCUGCUUCGGUAGCUCUUGUGUGUGGGUAUAAGAUCAGAUCCAACUGUCUAGAAGCGGCCAUUUAUCGAGCGAUCUUUCAUUUCUUGGUCUGCAACAAGAGGUAAAUGCUAGAGAUUAGCAACUGUUGCCAAACCCAAUGUGACAAAGAGGUAAGCACUAUAAACUGGAUUUAUAAAAAUUAACAGUAUAAGUAAAAGGUAGAGCCUGUGCAAGUUUAUCAGUACAAGCUGGAUUUAUAAACAAAAUCUAAUGGUAUAAACAAAAGGCAGAGACUGUACUGUGCAAGUUUAGCACUAUAAAAUGAAUUUAUAAACAUAAUUUAACAACACAGACAAAAUGCAGAUACUAUGUACUGACUACUGUGCUAGUUUAAGAUGAAUUUUGUUCAGUGCUGCUGAUGAAUUUUGUUCAGUGCUGCUGAUGAAUCUUGUGCUUGUUCUAGCCAAAGAGAACUGAGUAGUGAGCUAUGUACAAACAAAAGCGGAGACUAUAUACUGGUUACUGAUGCACUAUUCUAUGAUCUGAGCUCCCCCACAAUUUCAUGUACUAGGAUAUACAUCAACCAGUAUAAAUGAAAAGAAGAGAAAAGUCUAGCUUACUUCUAGAGGUGCUCAUGUUGGGGAACGUAGUAAUUUCAAAAAAAUUCCUACGCACACGCAAGAUCAUGGUGAUGCAUAGCAACGAGAGGGGAGAGUGUGAUCUACGUACCCUUGUAGAUCGACAACGGAAGCGUUUGGUUGAUGUAGUCGUACGUCUCCACGGCCCGACCGAUCAAGCACCGAAACUACGGCACCUCCGAGUUCUAGCACACGUUCAGCUCGAUGACGAUCCCUGGACUCCGAUCCAGCAAAGUGUCGGGGAAGAGUUCCGUCAGCACGACGGCGUGGUGACGAUCUUGAUGUACUACCGUCGCAGGGCUUCGCCUAAGCACCGCUACAAUAUUAUCGAGGACUAUGGUGGAAGGGGGCGCCACACACGGCUAAGAAUAUGAUCACGUGGAUCAACUUGUGUGUCUCUGGGGUGCCCCUGCCUCUGUAUAUAAAGGUUCAAGAGGGGGAGGCCGGCCGGCCACCAUAGGGAGCGCCAGGAGGAGUCCUACUCCCUCCGGGAGUAGGACUUCUCCCCCAAUCCUAGUUGGAAUAGGAUUCGUGAGGUGGAAAAGAGAGAGAGAGAGAGAAGGAGGGGGGCGCCCGCCCCCUCUCUCCUUGUCCUAUUCGGACUAGGGGGGAGGGGCGCGCGGCCCAGCCCUGGCUGCCUCUCCUCUUCUUCCACUAAGGCCCACUAAGGCCCAUAUAGCUCCAGGGGGGGGUCCGGUAACCUCUCGGUACUCCGGUAAAAUCCCGAUUUCACCCGGAACAUUUCCUAUAUCCAAACAUAGGCUUCCAGUAUAUCAAUCUUUACGUCUCGACUAUUUCGAGACUCCUCGUCAUGUCCGUGAUCUCAUCCGGGACUCCGAACAACCUUCGGUACAUCAAAACGUAUAAACUCAUAAUAUAACUGUCAUCGAAACCUUAAGCGUGCGGACCCUACGGGUUCGAGAACAAUGUAGACAUGACCAAGAUACGUCUCCGAUCAAUAACCAAUAGCGGGACCUGGAUGCCCAUAUUGGCUCCUACAUAUUCUACGAAGAUCUUUAUCGGUCAGACCGCAUAACAAAAUACAUUGUUCCCUUUGUCAUCGGUAUGUUACUUGCCCGAGAUUCGAUCGUCGGUAUCCAAUACCUAGUUCAAUCUCGUUACCGGCAAGUCUCUUUACUCGUUCCGUAAUACAUCAUCCUGGAACUAACUCAUUUAGUUGCAAUGCUUGCAAGGCUUAAGUGAUGUGCAUUACCGAGAGGGCCCUGAGAUACCUCUCCGACGAUCGGAGUGACAAAUCCUAAUCUCGAAAUACGUCAACCCAACAUGUACCUUUGGAGACACCUAUAGAGCACCUUUAUAAUCACCCAGUUAUGUUGUGACGUUUGGUUGCACACAAAGUGUUCCUCCGGCACACGGGAGUUACAUAAUCUCAUAGUCAUAGGAACAUGUAUAAGUCAUGAAGAAAGCAAUGGCAACAUAAUAAACGAUCGGGUGCUAAGCUAAUGGAAUGGGUCAUGUCAAUCAGAGCAUUCAACUAAUGAUGUGAUCCCAUUAAUCAAAUGACAACUCUUUGUCCAUGGUUAGGAAACACAACCAUCUUUGAUUAACGAGCUAGUCAAGUAGAGGCAUACUAGUGGCACUCUGUUUGUCUAUGUAUUCACACAUGUAUUAUGUUUCCGGUUAAUACAAUUCUAGCAUGAAUAAUAAACAUUUAUCAUGAUAUAAGGAAAUAAAUGAUAACUUUAUUAUUGCCUCUAGGGCAUAUUUCCUUCAGUCUCCCACUUGCACUAGAGUCAAUAAUCUAGAUUACACAGUAAUGAUUCUAACACCCAUGGAGCUUUGGUGCUGAUCAUGUUUUGCCCGUGGAAGAGGCUUAGUCAACGGGUCUGCUACAUCCAGCUCCGUAUGUAUCUUGCAAAUCUCUAUGUCUCCCACCUGGACUAGAUCCUGGAUGGAAUUGAAGCGUCUUUUGAUGUGCUUGGUUCUUUUGUGAAACCUGGAUUCCUUUGCCAAGGCAAUUGCACCAGUAUUGUCACAAAAGAUUUUCAUUGGACCCGAUGCAUUAGGUAUGACGCCUAGAUCGGAUAUGAACUCCUUCAUCCAGACUCCUUUGUUUGCUGCUUCCGAAGCAGCUAUGUACUCCGCUUCACAUGUAGAUCCCGCCACGACGCUUUGUUUAGAACUGCACUAAUUGACAGCUCCACCAUUUAAUGUAAACACGUAUCCGGUUUGCGAUUUAGAAUCGUCCAGAUCAGUGUCAAAGCUUGCAUCAACGUAACCGUUUACGAUGAGCUCUUUGUCACCUCCAUAUACGAGAAACAUAUCCUUAGUCCUUUUCAGGUAUUUUAGGAUGUUCUUGACCGCUGUCCAGUGAUCCACUCCUGGAUUACUUUGGUACCUCCCUGCUAAACUUAUAGCAAGGCACACAUCAGGUCUGGUACACAGCAUUGCAUACAUGAUAGAGCCUAUGGCUGAAGCAUAGGGAACAUCUUUCAUUUUCUCUCUAUCUUCUACAGUGGUCGGGCAUUGAGUCUGACUCAACUUCACACCUUGUAACAUAGGCAAGAACCCUUUCUUUACUUGAUCCAUUUUGAACUUCUUCAAAAUCUUGUCAAGGUAUGUGCUUUGUGAAAGUCCAAUUAAGCGUCUUGAUCUAUCUCUAUAGAUCUUUAUGCCUAAUAUGUAAGCAGCUUCACCGAGGUCUGUCAUUGAAAAACUCUUAUUCAAGUAUCCUUUUAUGCUAUCCAGAAAUUCUAUAUUAUUUCCAAUCAGUAAUAUGUCAUCCACAUAUAAUAUCAGAAAUGCUACAGAGCUCCCACUCACUUUCUUGUAAAUACAGGCUUCUCCGAAAGUCUAUAUAAAACCAAAUGCUUUGAUCACACUAUCAAAGCAUUUAUUCCAACUCCGAGAGGCUUGCACCAGUCCAUAAAUGGAUCACUGGAGCUUGCACACUUUAUUAGCUCCCUUUGGAUCGACAAAACCUUCCGGUUGCAUCAUAUACAACUCUUCUUCCAGAAAUACAUUCAGGAAUGCAGUUUUGACAUCUAUCUGCAAAAUUUCAUAAUCAUAAAAUGCGGCAAUUGCUAACAUGAUUCGGACAGACUUAAGCAUCGCUACGGGUGAGAAGGUCUCAUCGUAGUCAACCCCUUGAACUUGUCGAAAACCUUUUGCAACAAGUCGAGCUUUGUAGACAGUAAUAUUACCGUCAGCGUCAGUCUUCUUCUUGAAGAUCCAUUUAUUCGCAAUUGCUUGCCGAUCAUCGGGCAAGUCAACCAAAGUCCACACUUUGUUCUCAUACAUGGAUCCCAUCUCAGAUUUCAUGGCUUCAAGCCAUUUUGCGGAAUCUGGGCUCACCAUCGCUUCUUCAUAGUUCGUAGGUUCAUCAUGAUCUAGCAGCAUGACUUCCAGAACAGGAUUACCGUACCACUCUGGCACCGAUCUCACUCUGGUUGAUCUACGAGGUUCAGUAGUAUCUUGUCCUGAAGUUUCAUGAUCAUUAUCAUUAGCUUCCUCACUAAUUGGUGUAGGUGUCGCAGAAACAGGUUUCUGUGAUGUACUACUUUCCAAUAAGGGAGCAGGUACAGUUACCUCGUCAAGUUCUACUUUCCUCCCACUCACAUCUUUCGAGAGAAACUCCUUCUCCAGAAAGUUUCCGAACUUAGCAACAAAAGUCUUGCCUUCGGAUCUGUGAUAGAAGGUGUAUCCAAUAGUUUCCUUUGGAUAUCCUAUGAAGACACAUUUCUCCGAUUUGGGUUCGAGCUUAUCAGGUUGAAGCUUUUUCACAUAAGCAUCGCAGCCCCAAACUUUCAGAAACAACAACUUUGGUUUCUUGCUAAACCAUAGUUCAUAAGGCGUCGUCUCAACGGAUUUUGAUGGUGUCCUAUUUAACGUGAAUGCGGCCGUCUCUAAAGCAUAACCCCAAAACGAUAGCGGUAAAUCAGUAAGAGACAUCAUAGAUCGCACCAUAUCUAGUAAAGUAUGAUUACGACGUUCGAACACACCAUUACGCUGUGGUGUUCCGGGUGGCGUGAGUUGCAAAACUAUUCCGCAUUGUUUCAAAUGUACACCAAACUCGUAACUCAAAUAUUCUCCUCCACGAUCAGAUCGUAGAAACUCUAUUUUCUUGUUACGAUGGUUUUCAACUUCACUAUGAAAUUCUUUGAACUUCUCAAAUGUUUCAGACUUAUGUUUCAUUAAGUAGAUAUACCCAUAUCUGCUUAAGUCAUCUGUGAAGGUGAGAAAAUAACGAUAUCCGCCACUCGCCUCAAUAUUCAUCAGACCACAUACAUCUGUAUGUAUGAUUUCCAACAAAUCUGUUGCUCUCUCCAUAGUACCGGAGAACGGUGUUUUAGUCAUCUUACCCAUGAGGCACGGUUCGCAAGUACCAAGUGAUUCAUAAUCAAAUGGUUCCAGAAGUCCAUCAGUAUGGAGUUUCUUCAUGCGCUUUACACCGAUAUGACCUAAACGGCAGUGCCACAAAUAAGUUGCACCAUCAUUAUCAACUCUGCAUCUUUUGGCUUCAACAUUAUGAAUAUGUGUGUCACUACUAUCGAGAUUCAAUAAGAAUAGACCACUCUUCAAGGGUGCAUGACCAUAAAAUAUAUUACUCAUAUAAAUAGAACAACCAUUAUUCUCUAAUUUAAAUGAAUAACCGUCUCGCAUUAAACAAGAUCCAGAUAUAAUGUUCAUGCUCAACGCUGGCACCAAAUAACAAUUAUUUAGGUCUAAUACUAAUCCCGAAGGUAGAUGUAGAGGUAGCGUGCCGACCGCGAUCACAUCGAGUUUGGAACCGUUUCCCACGCGCAUCGUCACCUCGUCCUUAGCUAAUCUUUGCUUAAUCCGUAGUCCCUGUUUCGAGUUGCAAAUAUUAGCAACAGAACCAGUAUCAAAUACCCAGGUGCUACUGCAAGCAUUAGUAAGGUACACAUCAAUAACAUGUAUAUCAUAUAUACCUUUGUUCACCUUGCCAUCCUUCUUAUCCGCCAAAUACUUGGGGCAGUUUCGCUUCCAGUGACCAGUCUGCUUGCAGUAGAAGCACUCAGUUUCAGGCUUAGGUCCAGACUUGGGUUUCUUCUCUUGAGCAGCAACUUGCUUGCUGUUCUUCUUGAAUUUCCCCUUCUUCUUCCCAUUGCCCUUUUUCUUGAAACUAGUGGUCUUGUUAACCAUCAACACUUGAUGCUCCUUUUUGAUUUCUACCUCCGCAGCUUUCAGCAUUGCGAAGAGCUCGGGAAUAGUCUUAUUCAUCCCUUGCAUAUUAUAGUUCAUCACGAAGCUCUUGUAGCUUGGUGGCAGUGAUUGGAGAAUUCUGUCAAUGACACAAUCAUCUGGAAGAUUAACUCCCAUCUGAAUCAAGUGAUUAUUAUACCCAGACAUUUUGAGUAUAUGCUCACUGACAGAACUGUUCUCCUCCAUCUUGCAGCUAUAGAACUUAUUGGAGACUUCAUAUCUCUCAAUCCGGGCAUUUGCUUGAAAUAUUAACUUCAACUCCUGGAACAUCUCAUAUGCUCCAUGACGUUCAAAACGUCGUUGAAGUCCCGAUUCUAAGCCGUAAAGCAUGGCACACUGAACUAUCGAGUAGUCAUCAGCUUUGCUCUGCCAGACGUUCAUAACAUCUGGUGUUGCUCCAGCAGCAGGCCUGGCACCCAGCGGUGCUUCCAGGACGUAAUUCUUCUGUGCAGCAAUGAGGAUAAUCCUCAAGUUACGGACCCAGUCCGUGUAAUUGCUACCAUCAUCUUUCAACUUUGCUUUCUCAAGGAACGCAUUAAAAUUCAACGGAACAACAGCACGGACCAUCUAUCUACAAUCAAACAUACAUAAGCAAGAUACUAUCAGGUACUAAGUUCAUGAUAAAUUUAAGUUCAAUUAAUCAAAUUACUUAAAGAACUCCCACUUAGAUAGACAUCCCUCUAAUCCUCUAAGUGAUCACGUGAUCUAAAUCAACUAAACCAUGUCCGAUCAUCACGUGAGAUGGAGUAGUUUCAUUGGUGAACAUCACUAUGUUGAUCAUAUCUACUAUAUGAUUCACGCUCGACCUUUCGGUCUCCGUGUUCCGAGGCCAUAUCUGUAUAUGCUUGGCUCGUCAAGUAUAACCUGAGUAUUCCACGUGUGCAACUGUUUUGCACCCGUUGUAUUUGAACGUAGAGCCUAUCACACCCGAUCAUCACGUGGUGUCUCAGCAUGAGGAACUUUCGCAACGGUGCAUACUCAGGGAGAACACUUCUUGAUAAUUUUAGUGAGAGAUCAUCUUAUAAUGCUACCAUCAAUCAAAGCAAGAUAAGAUGCAUAAAAGAUAAACAUCACAUGCAAUCAAUAUAGGUGAUAUGAUAUGGCCAUCAUCAUCUUGUGCAUGUGAUCUCCAUCUCCGAAGCACCGUCAUGAUCACCAUCGUCACCGGCGCGACACCUUGAUCUCCAUCAUAGCAUCGUUGUCGUCUCGCCAAUCUUAUGCUUCCACGACUAUCGCUACCGCUUAGUGAUAAAGUAAAGCAUUACAACGCGAUUACAUUGCAUACAAUAAAGCGACAACCACAUGGCUCCUGCCAGUUGCCGGUAACUCAGUUACAAAACAUGAUCAUCUCAUACAAUAAAAUUUAGCAUCAUGUCUUGACCAUAUCACAUCACAACAUGCCCUGCAAAAACAAGUUAGACGUCCUCUACUUUGUUGUUGCAAGUUUUACGUGGCUGCUACGGGCUUAAGCAAGAAACAAUCUUACCUACGCAUCAAAACCACAACGAUAGUUUGUCAAGUUGGUGCUGUUUUAACCUUCGCAAGGACCGGGCGUAGCCACACUUGGUUUAACUAAAGUUGGAGAAACUGUCACCCGCAAGCCACCUAUGUGCAAAGCACGUCGGGAGAACCGGUCUCGCGUAAGCGUACGCGUAAUGUCGGUCCGAGCCGCUUCAUCCAACAAUACCGCCGAACCAAAGUAUGACAUGCUGGUAGGCAGUAUGACUUAUAUCGCCCACAACUCACUUGUGUUCUACUCGUGCAUAUAACAUCAACACAUAAAACCUAGGCUCUGAUACCACUAUUGGGGAACGUAGUAAUUUCAAAAAAAUUCCUACGCACACGCAAGAUCAUGGUGAUGCAGAGCAACAAGAGGGGAGAGUGUGAUCUACGUACCCUUGUAGAUCGACAACGGAAGCGUUUGGUUGAUCUAGUCGUACGUCUCCACGGCCCAACCGAUCAAGUACCGAAACUACGGCACCUCCUAGUUCUAGCACACAUUCAGCUCGAUGACAAUCCCCGGACUCCGAUCCAGCAAAGUGUCGGGGAAGAGUUCCGUCAGCACGACGGUGUGGUGACGAUCUUGAUGUACUACCGUCGCAGGGCUUCGCCUAAGCACCGCUACAAUAUUAUCGAGGACUAUGGUGGAAGGGGGCGCCGCACACGGCUAAGAAUAUGAUCACGUGGAUCAACUUGUGUGUCUCUAGGGUGCCCCUGCCUCCGUAUAUAAAGGUUCAAGAGGGGGAGGCCGGCCGGCCACAUUAGGGCGCGCAAGGAGGAGUCCUACUCCCUCCGAGAGUAGGACUUCUCCCCCAAUCCUAGUUGGAAUAGGAUUCGUGAGGUGGAAAAGAGAGAGAGAGAGAAGGAGGGGGGCGCCGGCCCCCUCUCUCCUUGUCCUAUUCGGACUAGGGGGGAGGGGCGUGCGGCCCAGCCCUGGCCACCUCUCCUCUUCUUCCACUAAGGCCCAUAUAGCUCCCGGGGGGUUCCGGUAACCUCCCGGUACUCCGGUAAAAUCCCGAUUUCACCCGGAACACUUCCGAUAUCCAAACAUAGGCUUCCAAUAUAUCAAUCUUUAUGUCUCGACCAUUUCGAGACUCCUCGUCAUGUUCGUGAUCUCAUCCGGGACUCCGAACAACCUUCGGUACAUCAAAACGUGUAAACUCAUAAUAUAACUGUCAUCGAAACCUUAAGCGUGCGGACCGUACGGGUUCGAGAACAAUGUAGACAUGACCAAGAUACGUCUCCGGUCAAUAACCAAUAGCGGGACCUGGAUGCCCAUAUUGGCUCCUACAUAUUCUAUGAAGAUCUUUAUCGGUCAGACCGCAUAACAAAAUACAUUGUUCCCUUUGUCAUCGGUAUGUUACUUGCCCGAGAUUCGAUCGUCGGUAUCCAAUACCUAGUUCAAUCUCGUUACCGGCAAGUCUCUUUACUCGUUCCGGAAUACAUCAUCCCGCAACUAACUCAUUUAGUUGCAAUUCUUGCAAGGCUUAAGUGAUGUGCAUUACCGAGUGGGCCCUGAGAUACCUCUCCGACGAUCGGAGUGACAAAUCCUAAUCUCGAAAUACGUCAACCCAACAUGUACCUUUGGAGACACCUGUAGAGCACCUUUAUAAUCACCCAGUUACGUUGUGACGUUUGGUUGCACACAAAGUGUUCCUCCGGCACAAGGGAGUUACAUAAUCUCAUAGUCAUAGGAACAUGUAUAAGUCAUGAAGAAAGCAAUAGCAACAUACUAAACGAUCGGGUGCUAAGCUAAUGGAAUGGGUCAUGUCAAUCAGAUCAUUCAACUAAUGAUGUGAUCCCAUUAAUCAAAUGACAACUCUUUGUCCAUGGUUAGGAAACAUAACCAUCUUUGAUUAACGAGCUAGUCAAGUAGAGGCAUACUAGUGACACUCUGUUUUUCUAUGUAUUCACACAUGUAUUAUGUUUCCGGUUAAUACAAUUCUAGCAUGAAUAAUAAACUUUUAUCAUGAUAUAAGGAAAUAAAUAAUAACUUUAUUAUUGCCUCUAGGGCAUAUUUCCUUCAGCUGAACCACGGUGAGAAGUGAGCUGUUGAAGCCGGACUGAAGGAGCAGCUGGGAAGCAGAGAAGUCGGACUGGGACUUGACUCUCGAGCAGAAGGGCUUGGCGGUAGGGGAUCUAGCCGUCGAGCUUGAGGGUCACAGGGCCACAAGGGUGUGGAUCUUGUGGGUCGCCGUCCUACUGAGAGCCCACGACGGAAGGGUGUCAUUGACUAGGGAAGGGCGUCCAGAUUCUAUCUUCUGCAAAUCACAAUAAAAUCCAGUCACAUUGUGUAGUAUAUCAAAUAUAAGGAACAAUGCAAUAGCUGAGACCACUACCUAACUAAUUUGUAGGAAAGCUCAUGAUGUAAUUAAACAUUUACUGAAGGACUAGGUUAUUGAUUCCAAGCUAGGUGAAAUGCAAACAUACUCCUAUUGUAGUGAUGGAUCCCAACUUGUUUAAAUUAGAGUAGUUCGUCUAACUUGCACAAUCCAGAGAGAAAUAUGUGCAUGUCUCGGAUUGAUUUGGGUAGUCAACAGAAGUGAUUUGCAUGUUGUGUAUGUAAAUGUAAAGUUCUUUUAGGUACAGUACAAAUGGGUACUCCUGCUACCUAAUGACGCAUCUUAAUUAAGAAAAAAAAAUAUUCAGUUAAUUUAAUGAUGCAUCUUAAUUUCUCAUCUUAAUUAAGUAAUAUUCUUGGUCAACAUCUUAAUUUUAAUGAACAACAUAUUAUAUUUAUAUGAAAUCAUGUAGACAAAGAAGAAGCAAAGCCAUACAACUUCAUUUAUUAACUAGCACUGCCCUUUCUAUUAGCAGAAAAGAGAAUUCAUGACUCAUCACCUAAACAACAUCGCUAAACAAAAACUCUACAACUUAAAUGACAUUAGAUGACACAUCGCUAAACACUCAGAGUUGAAACACAUUCAAUUUGAAAGAAAAGAUAGUCGACCAUAAGACAUAAAGCAUCAUAUAGCGGAGGAGGAAUUCAAUAUGAACUCCCUUCCCAGUCAGGGAAUCCUUAGCAGCAAUAAUGUGGGACUGCUAUAGAUUGCAACGAUAUUUACUUGAUAGUGUUUUUGCCCAACAUCAACAUCACAAGUCAUAACAGAUAAGACAACAACACUGAACUGGCCCAAGUUGCAGGCUAUACUAAUCUUUACGGUGUAGAUAAACUAAAUAACUAACAAAGAUUUAACUGAUCCAGAGUGUCAGGUCCCUAAUCCAACACCCCCGCUAUGCUAGAUACACCAGAAUGCAGUCGCCAGGCCGAUCAGGGAAUCGGAAGUAGCGAUCGGGACCAACAUACAGAUCGGGAGAGGGUGGGGUCGGGGCGCGCUCGUUGGAUACUAGACAAAAUUUAGAUUUAGAUUUUGGAAGGUGAUAAUGCCAUUCGAGUGACCAUGCAUACUAGACAAACGUCACAGGAUGCACAUCAAAAAAUACAUCAGAGAUGCAUUCAAAAAAACAUGAACAUCACAAGAUAUCCAUCUGUCCCGUGCAAGUUUCAGGAAUAAUAAUGGCAUGCAUAGGGCAAUCUUUAUCUUGAGAGAAACAAGCAAGCCACACAUUUGAGAUGGUCACCUACCCCAAUCCUCACGAUCCGCGUAGGUCUCCUCCUGGUAGCCAUGGGGGUCCGCCUGCUCUCCCUGGUCCGGCUGGUCUCCGUCAUCAACAUGGCCUCCCCUGAAAAAACGACGAGGGUGGUGAGGGGGAUUGAGGAGAAGAGAGGUCGGAGAAGAAGGGUGAGGUCAGAUCGGGGGACGUUACCUCCUGGGUCGGGGUAGUGCUGCUGCUGGUGGUGCUGCGGUGGCUGGUCCUGGUGCUUGUACUUGGCGGCCUUCUUGCUGGCCCUGGUGGGCUUGUCGGGGUUGUCGGGCGGGACAACAUGCUUGACGACGCGGGCGACAGCCUCAUUGCCCGAGGCGCCAUCGGCCAGGUCGAGCAGGUCGAAGAUCCCCAUCCCGGUGGCGGCGGCAAGGUGUGAGAAAGAAGGUGGGAGAGGGGAAGAGGGNNNNNNNNNNNNNNNNNNNNNNNNNNNNNNNNNNNNNNNNNNNNNNNNNNNNNNNNNNNNNNNNNNNNNNNNNNNNNNNNNNNNNNNNNNNNNNNNNNNNNNNNNNNNNNNNNNNNNNNNNNNNNNNNNNNNNNNNNNNNNNNNNNNNNNNNNNNNNNNNNNNNNNNNNNNNNNNNNNNNNNNNNNNNNNNNNNNNNNNNNNNNNNNNNNNNNNNNNNNNNNNNNNNNNNNNNNNNNNNNNNNNNNNNNNNNNNNNNNNNNNNNNNNNNNNNNNNNNNNNNNNNNNNNNNNNNNNNNNNNNNNNNNNNNNNNNNNNNNNNNNNNNNNNNNNNNNNNNNNNNNNNNNNNNNNNNNNNNNNNNNNNNNNNNNNNNNNNNNNNNNNNAAGGCGAGGGGAGGGGGUCGGCGGUGGGUGGGGGCUGCGAUGGUGGGUGGGGAUGGCGGCGGUGGUGGGUGGGGAUGGCGACGGUGGGAGAUGAGGGAGACGAAGGCGGAGAGGAGACGAGGGAGAGGAGGGUGGGGAUGGAUCGGAUCUGGAGAAAGGGUGGGUGGGUGGGUGGGUGGGUUAGGGUUUUGGUUUUUUCAGGAGAGGAUCAACCGUUGGAUGGGCGCGUGAUGGAUGGCUCAGAUCGUGUCCAACUUGGUGAUCCGCGUGGAGGUGGUUCCUCGCUUCUCAUUGGCUGGCUGGCUCACGCUCGAAAAUCCAAAUUUUGGACCCAAAUCUCUGAUUUUCUUUUAAAUGCCUACAAAUGUGUGCAAUAUUGGACCAUACCAUUUUCCAAAAGGCGGAUGUUAGGUGCCAGUCAAUCGGCCUAAAUUUGGGUCGGUCGCCUCGCGACCCUACGAUGUUUUCAUGUGUAACCAUUUGAUUCACCCCCACGUUAUACUUUAUUCCCCAUCUUGCUCGUUCUCUAUCAUAUAGAACACAUAGUUGACCCUCCCGCCGUUGCGCCGUCGCACACAACCGUAGUCUGUCGCCUAAACGUUGGCAUCACCCCAACAUGCUCUAAUUGUAGCAUUCGCCGGUUCUAGCACCUUCCCGAGGCUGCUCACCGACGGGGAUGAAGCAUCCUCAAUCAACAGUUCCAGCAACCCAUCUUGCCGGUUCCAGCAAAUUACUUUACCACUUCUAGCACCUCCACCGCAAAUUGCUCAUUGCUAAGGAUGCAGCAUGCCAAAUUCAUUUUCCAUUUUUCAAGUGCCAAAAAUGAGUUUUUUUAAAUAACCUAGCAAAUAAUUUUCAAAAAAUGGACCAAAUCAAUUUUAUAAAAUACUAAGCCAUAUUUAAUGCACAAUUAACCAAAUGGUUGGGUGUCAAAAGAUUCGAUCCACCUCUGGUGAAAAAGACAAAUUCCCGCCAAUUCAGUAGGAAACAUGUCAAAUUUGAACUGCAGCUACCUCAUAGUUUGCUCUUUAUUAUUUCCAAAAAUCAUUUCUAGGUAUAUAAGUAUCUAUUUAAUCAGAGAAACAUCAAAAGUUUUCCAAGAUUCAAGCACUAGCUAGGAAAGGUCAUUCCCGCCGUUUUGACCGCAUUUUGAAACGGGCAUAAAAAAUUCAAAAAAAUCAAAAAAUUGGAAAACCUUCACAUUGUGUCAUUAUAUGUGACCAAGUUUCUAGGAAAAAUAAUAAACUUGUAAUACGGUAAUUAUUUUAAAAAAGUGUUCUCAGAAAUGAGCUAUCAUGUGUGAAGAUUCAUGGCUUUCAAGCCAAAUGAUCAAUCUUAUGGCCAAAUUCAUGGCAUAGUUUGUUCAAAUGAUCUGAUAUUGUGCACAAGGGUGCAUCUUGGAAUGGCAAACAAUGUUUCCUAAGGGACUUUUUAUUUUCUUUGCACAGAAAAUUCAUUUUCCAUUUUCUGAGUGCCCGAAUUGAGUUCUUUUUGUGAAGGACCUACCAUAUAUUUGUUGCAAAAUUGGACCAAAUAAAAUUUCUAAAAUACUAUGCCAUAUUUGAUUCACAAUUGACCAAAUGGUUGGGUGUCAAAAGCCUUGAUCCACCUCUGGUGAAAAAGAUAAAUUCCCGCCGAUUUAGUAGGAAGCAGGUCAAAUUUGAACUGCAGCUGCCUCAUAAUUUGCUCUUUAUUUUUUCAAAAAAUCAUUUCUAGAUACAUAAGUAUCUAUUUAAUCAGAGAAACACCAAAAAAUUUCCAAGAUUCAACCACUAGCUAGGAACGGUCAUUCCCGCCGUUUUGACCGCAUUUUGAAACGGGCUUAAAAAAUUAAAAAAAAUCAAAAAAAUGGAAAACCUUCGCAUUGUGUCAUUAUAUGUGACCAAGUUUCCAGGAAAAAUAAUAAACUUGUAAUACGGCAAUUAUUUAAAAAAAGAUUUCUCAAAAAUGAGCUAUCAUGCAUGAAGAUUCAUGGCUUUCAAGCCAAAUGAUCAAUCUUAUGGCUACAUCCACGGCAUAGUUUGUUCAAAUGAUCUCAUAUUAUGCAGAAGGGUGCAUAUUCGAAUGGCAAACAAUGUUGCCUAAGGGACUUUUUAUUUUCUUUGCACGGAAAAUUCAUUUUCCAUUUUCCGAGUGCCCGAAUUGAGUUCUUUUUGUGAAGGACCUACCAUAUAUUUGUUGCAAAAUUGGACAAAAUCAUUUUUUAUAAAAUAUUAGGCCAUAUUUAAUGCAUAAUUGACAUAAUGGUUUGGUGUAAAAAGUUUUGAUCCACCACUUGUGAAAAAGACAAAUUUCUGCCGAUUCAGUAGGAAGCGGGUCAAUUUUGAACUGCAUCUACCUUAUUGUUUGCUCUUUAUUUUUUACAAAAAUCAUUUCUAGUUACAUAAGUAUCUAUUUAAUCAUAAAUACAUGGUUUGGUGGCGAUACGUCGAGGUUUGGAUGUGGCCCAGGGCCCCAACUCCAAAGCGCGUAAACUAGCAUGCCCGCCGUGUGGUCACCGCGUGACCUUGGCGUUGACAUGCUUUCUGGGAGGCCUAGGCAUGUCUAGUGGGUUGGGCACUCUCCAGGUAGGUGCUAGGAAGAAAAUUACAAUAGAAGAAUCUCACGAGGAGACUGACCUAUGCUCAAAGAUGAAUUAGCAGCCAAGUGUUUGAUUAGCGGUACAGGAAAUGCACAUGACCAAUGGGCGUGAGUUUUAGCUAAGGAUGAUCAUCUACUAAGGAGAAUGUCUUCACAAAUUUUUAGCUCAAAAGGAGGAUCCUAGGUGGUACUUGCUUUGCAAAGUACCACGCUGGACAAAAAUAUGAAUGUUGAAGCUGGGCUCAAAAUAAUGAAUGCAUUGAGCUGAAAUUUGGUGGAGGAUGGUUAUUUGGGCAUAGGAAAGCAUUGUAGAAAAUUGAUACCAUUUGGACAUGCCAAAGUAGUACUUCCUUCACAAUGUUUUCUUUGGACAGAAACUUGGGAAAACUAGUGAGAGAGAUUGGAUGAAUGAAAUGAGCUAAAAAUUGGUGUAGGUAAGUUACAUAGGUAUGGUCAUGUGUUGGUAAAUUUUCAGAUCAUUUGGGUAAGCCUAGCUAGUACUUACUUCACAAAGCUUCUCUCGAGGUAGAAACUUUGGAAAUUUCCGGAGAAAGAUUUACUAGGAAAAUUGAGCUGAAUAUUAUCAUGUGGCAAUGAUUUGGGUAUGGAAGAGUGCCCGAAAAGUUUGAGGGUAAUAGGAGGGGUAUAUAUAACACUUGCUUUGCAACGUGCCAAUUUGGCCAUAAAAUAUAAAUUGAACCUGGGCUCACAUAGAUGAUUUGACUGAGCUGCAAUUUGGAGGAGGGUGAUAAUUUGGGAAUAUGAAGGAACUGUAGAAAUUUCAUAUCAUUUCAAUACAUAAAAAAGGUACUUACUUCAUAAUGCUUCUAGGUGGACAAAAACUUUGGAAAUUUGCCGAGGAAGAUUUGCUAGGCAAAUGGAGCUGAAUUUUGUCAUGCGGUAAUGAUUUGGAUAGGAAAGAGUGCCCAAAAAUUCUAAGGGCAAUCAAGAAUAUAUAAAUAGCACUUUCUUCAUAAAGUGCUAUUGUGAACAAAAUAGGAAAAUGAAUAUUGUUGAAUUAGUUUUGAACUAGGCAAGGAAGGAUUUUUACAUAUUUGAUGAAGAUAUGACCCAAAUAAUUUAUGAGAUAUUUUUGGGAAUUUUGGGAAUGACAGAAAUAUAGGUUGCUUCAGAACCUAGGGCAAAAACUGCCACAUGGACAUGACACAUAGGCAAAACUGAUGAGGUGGCGCCUAGUCAUAGCAACCCACCACAAUUUAUAAGGUUAUGACCAUCUAUAUUGGUCAUGAUCAGCUAUAAAUAAGGCAGCAGACUAGUGCUAUCUGCUUUAUGACCAUUUCGUGUAAGGAAAUUACGACCUUUCUGAGCAAAAUGGUCGUUAUAGUUUAGGGUUUGGAGCCCCCCGAACAGCUUUUGACCAAUUGGUCUGAAAUGGUCAUAGAUCUAUGACCAAUUCUUCCAGGGUCACUGACAGAAGGUCACUAGUUGACAUAUUUCUUGUAGUGGAAGCACAAUGUUGAUACUGAGGUUAUGCCCAAAGUCAUGCAAGUUGUUUCUCGCGGCAAGCUUUUGACUUCUAGUUUGGUUGCUCCCGAUGUCUCUAUCACGUUGGGCGACUACAAGUUUCUGUCCUCUCCAGUGGUCCUUGGUAACUCGGAUAUUGAUCUUAUUCUUGGAACGGACUAGCUUUCUAAGCACAAGGCUCAGCUUGAUUGUGCUGCCAGGCAGAUUCAAUUGACUCAUUCGUCUGAGGAUGUUAUUUUCUUUACCACAAGGGAUGAUACUGUUCGACUAUUUUCUCUCAAUGAGAAGGGUGAACUGGAUGCCAUCUCUCAAAUUCCGGUCGUUUGCGAAUAUCAAGACGUCUUUCCAGAAGAGCUCCCAGGAAUGCCUCCGCACCGGCCAGUUGAAUUUGUCAUCAAUCUUGAGCCUGGCACGGAACCUAUUUGCAAACGUCCUUACAAGCUUGGUCCUAAAGAGUUGAAGGAGCUAAAGAAGCAACUCGAUGUACAAGAGCGAAUGGGUCUCAUCCGACCUAGUUCUUCUCCGUGGGGUUGUGGAGUUCUUUUUGUGAAGAAGAAGGAUGGAACGGACCGACUUUGUGUUGACUACUGUCCAUUGAACAAGAAGACUAUAAAGAACAAGUACCCACUUCCCAACAUCAACGAGCUGUUUGAACAACUCAAAGGUGCUCAAGUAUUCUCCAAGCUUGAUCUCCGUAUGGGCUAUCACCAGAUUCGAAUUCGUGAGCAAGAUAUCCCUAAGACAGCAUUCAGAACAAGCUAUGGUUCAUAUGAAUACACUGUCAUGUCUUUUGGCCUCGUCAACGCUCCGCCAACAUUCUCUCGCAUGAUGAACUUCAUCUUCAACCCCUACACAAAUGACUUCGUCUUGGUCUACCUCGAUGACAUUUUGGUCUUUUCCAAGAACAAGGAAGAUCAUGCCAAGCACUUGCGUUUGGUGCUGGAUAAGCUCAGAGAACAUCAGUUCUAUGCCAAGUUUUCAAAGUGCGAGUUUUGGCUCGAUGAGGUUCUCUAUCUUGGGCAUAUCAUCUCUGCCAAGGGCAUAGCGGUGAAUCCUGAGAAGGUGUCUGCAAUUGUGAAUUGGGAACCACCUCAGAACAUGAAGCAACUCCGCAGUUUCCUUGGGCUCGCAAGCUAUUGUCGAAGGUUCGUUGAGAACUUUUCAAAGAUCGUGAAGCCUCUUUCCAACCUUCUCCAGAAGCAUGUGAAGUACGUCUAGUCUCCUGAAUGUGACAUCGCUUUCAACACCCUGAAAGAGAAGUUAGUCACUGCUCCAGUUCUGACUCCCCCUGAUGAAUCCAAACCGUUCGAGGUCUUCUGUGAUGCUUCCCUUCAAGGUCUUGGUGCAGUGUUGAUGCAAGAGAAGAAACUUGUGGCCUAUACCUCUCGCCAGUUGAAGCCCAAUGAAAAGAACUACCCCACUCAUGACCUCGAGUUGGCGGCAGUUGUGCAUGCUCUUUUGACUUGGAUACAUCUCUUAUUGGGAAGAAAAGUGGACAUCUUCACUGACCACAAGAGUCUCAAGUACAUCUUCACUCAGCCUAAUCUCAACCUCAAGCAGACUCCUUGGGUCGAAAUGAUUCAAGAGUAUAAUCCGAGUAUCGAAUAUACUCCAGGCAAGGACAAUGUAAUUGCUAACGCAUUGAGCAGGAAGGCUUACUACAACAGUUUGAUUCUCAAGCCUUACCAACCCGAGCUUUGUGAAGCUUUCCGCAAACUCAAUCUGCAAGUUGUUCCUCAAGGUUUCCUCGCCAACCUCCAAGUCUCUCCUACUUUGGAAGAUCAGAUUCGCGAGGCUCAACUUCUUGAUGCUAUGGUGAAGAAGGUGAAGAUUGGGAUUGCCAAGAGUCAACCCAAGUACAGGUGCUAUCGCCUUGAUGACAAGGAUACUCUAUUCUUUGAAGAUCGCAUUGUUGUGCCUAAAGGUGACCUUCGUAAAGUCAUUAUGAAUGAGGCUCACAAUUCACUCCUCUCUAUCCACCCUGGGAGUACAAAGAUGUACCAUGAUCUCAAGCAGUCCUAUUGGUGGACUUGAAUGAAGCGCGAGAUUGCUCAGUUCGUGAAUAAAUGUGAUGUCUGCAGAAGAGUGAAGGCAGAACACCAACGACCAGCUGGUCUCCUCCAACCUCUUGCCAUUCCAGAAUGGAAGUUUGACCACAUUGAGAUGGACUUCGUGACGGGAUUUCCAAAGUCCAAGCGCGUUAAUGAUGCUAUCUUCGUUGUCAUCGACAAACUCACUAAAGUGGCUCAUUUCCUUCCUAUCAAAGAAUCCAUCACAGCAGUUCAAUUGGCAGAGCUAUAUACCUCCUGGAUUGUCUCUCUGCACGGCAUUCCGCAGUUGAUUUCUUCAGAUCGUGGCAGCAUCUUCACCUCCAAGUUUUGGGAUUCUUUUCAGAAGGCCAUGGGCACCAACAUCCGUUUCAGCACAGCUUUUCAUCCCCAAACUAGUGGCCAAGUCGAGCGUGUCAAUCAGAUUCUUGAAGAUAUGCUCAGGGCUUGCGUUAUCUCUUUCGGUAUGAAGUGGGAAGAUUGUCUUCCAUAUGCUGGAUUUUCCUACAACAACAGUUUCCAAGCGAGUUCGGGCAAGGCCCCAUUUGAAAUUCUCUAUGGCAGGAAGUGUCGUACUCCUCUUAACUGGUUAGAGACUGGUGAACGUCAACUUCUUGGAAAUGACUUGAUCACAGAGGCAGAAGAGAUGUGCAAAGUCAUUCGUGAUAACCUCAAAGCCGCGCAAUCGCGCUAGAAGAGCUACUAUGAUAGUAAGCAUCGUGAUUUGGCUUUCGAGAUCGGAGACCAUGUUUACCUCCGCGUCUCUCCAAUGAAAGGUACUCGUCGCUUCAGUAUCAAAGGGAAGCCUGCCCCUAGAUACGUGGGUCUGAUACAUCUCCAAUGUAUCUAUAAUUUUUGAUUGCUCCAUGCUAUAUUAUCUACUGUUUUGGACUAUAUUGGGCUUUAUUUUCCACUUUUAUAUUAUUUUUGGGACUAACCUAUUAACCGGUGGCCCGACCCAGAAUUGUUGUUUUGCCUAUUUCAGUGUUUCGGAUAAACAGAAUAUCAAACGGAGUCCAAACGGAAUAAAAUCUUCGGAAACGUGAUUUUCUCACCGAACGUGAUCCAGGAGACUUGGACCCUACUGCAAGGGAUCAAAGAGGUGGUCACGAGGGUGGGGGGCGCCCUCCUAGGGUGCGCCCCCUGCCUCGUGGGCCCCUCGGUGCUCCACCAACAUACUCCUUCCUCCUAUAUAUGCACACGUACCCCCAAAUGAUCAGAAGAGGAUCCAAAAACCUAAUUCCACCGCCGCAACUUUCUGUAUCCACGAGAUCCCAUCUUGGGGCCUGUUCCGGAGCUCUGGCGAAAGAGGGCCGUCAUCAUGGAUGGCUUCUACAUCAUCCUAGCCCCUCCGAUGAAGUGUGAGUAGUUUACCUCAGACAUUCGGGUCCAUAGUUAGUAGCUAGAUGGCUUCUUCUCUCUCUUUGAAUCUCAAUACAAAGUUCUCCCCCUCUCUUGUGGAGAUCUAUUCGAUGUAAUCUUCUUUUUGUGGUGUGUUUGUUGAGACCGAUGAAUUGUGGGUUUAUGAUCAAGUCUAUCUAUGAAUAAUAUUUGAAUCUUCUCUGAAUUCUUUUAUGUAUGAUUGGUUAUCUUUGCAAGUCUCUUCGAAUUAUCCGUUUGGUUUGGCCAACUAGAUUGGUAGUUCUUGCCAUGGGAGAAGUGCUUAGCUUUGGGUUCGAUCUUGCGGUGUCCUUACCCAGUGACAGAAGGGGCAGCAAGGCACGUAUUGUAUCGUUGCCAUCGAGGAUAAGAAGAUGGGGUUUAUUUCAUAUUGCAUGAAUUUAUCUCUCUACAUCAUGUCAUCUUGCUUAAGGCGUUACUCUGUUUUUAACUUAAUACUCUAGAUGCAUGUUGGAUAGCGGUCGAUGAGUGGAGUAAUAGUAGUAGAUGCAGAAUCGUUUCGAUCUACUUGUCACGGACGUUAUGCCUAUAUACAUGAUCAUGCCUAGAUAUUCUCAUAAUUAUGCUCAAUUCUAUCAAUUACUCAAUAGUAAUUUGUUCACCCACCGUAGAAUACUUAUGCUCUUGAGAGAAGCCACUAGUGAAACCUAUGGCCCCCGGGUCUAUUCUCAUCAUAUCAAUCUCCAUCACUUUAAUAUUGUUUUGCUUUUUUACUUUGCUUUUACUUUUUACUUUGCAUCUUUAUAUCAAAAAUACCAAAAAUAUUCUAUCUAUCAGAUCUCACUCUCGUAAGUGACCAUGAAGGGCUUGACAACACCUAAUCGCGUUGGUUGCGAGUAGCUAUCGCUUUGUGCAGGUACGAGGGACUUGAGCAUGGGCUCCUACUAGAUACCUUGGUUCUCAAAAACUGAGGGGAAUACUUACGCUACUCUGCUGCAUCAUCCUUUCCUCUUCGGGGAAAACCAACGCAAGCUCAAGACGUAGCAGGGUCCUUUCAAGAUCGUCAGCAAGAGAGGCGAUCUCGCCUAUCAACUUGAGCUUCCCUCCAACUUUGCAAACAUGCACGACGUGUUUCACGUGUCUCAACUCCGCAAGUGCUUCAAGACCCCUGACCACACCGUCAACUUCGAAGACAUUGAUCUCCAAGAAGACCUGUCUUACCAUGAGCACCCAGUUGCUAUCCUUGAAGAAACUGAGCGCAAGAUUCGCAACAAGUCAAUCAAAUUCCUCAAAGUCAAGUGGUCACAUCAUUCCGACCGUGAAGCCACAUGGGAACGCGAGGAUCACCUCCGUUCUGAGUACCCGGAGUUUUUCCAGUCCUAGAUCUCGGGACGAGAUCCUUUCGUAGUGGUGGAGUGUUGUAACACCCUGGAUGUAAUUUACCUUAUCUGUACUCCAACUCUUGCCGUUUCUGGUACUAAGUUAUUCUAUUUCCUUGUUGUAUGGUUUUUGUCUCCGUGUGUUUUGUCUUUGUCAUGCAUCUCAUAUCAUGUCAUCAUGUGCAUUGCAUUUGCAUACGUGUUUGCCUCAUGCAUCCGAGCAUUUUCCCCGUUGUCCGUUUUGCAUUCCGGCGCUCCUAUGUCCUCCGGUGGACUUUUCUACCUCUUUUCGUGUGUGGGCAUUAAACAUUUCCAGAUUGGACCGAGACUUAUCAUGCGGCCUUAGUUUACUACCGGUAGACCGCCUGUCAAGUUUCGUGCCAUUUGGACUUCGUUUGAUACUCCAACGGUUAACCGAGGGACCGAAAAGGUCUCGUGUGUGUUGCAGCCCAACACCCCUCCAAACUAGCCCAAAACCCACCUAAACCUCUCCCAUCAUCUAGAGCGUUCGAUCACGAUCGCGUGACCGCAAACCGCACCUCAUUUGGAGCUUCCUAGCUCCUCCUACCUCUAUAUAAAGACCUUCCCCCGAAUUUUCGAGUCAAAACACCCCUAACCCUAGCCCCCUUCGUCCUCAGCGCGCCGGACAUUGUCCGCCGGCGCCGGACUCACCUCCGCGGCCAACCGCCUCUUGACACAUGUCCCCGCCGGAUCCCACACCGCCGCAGCCCGCCCGGCCCACAGCCGGCCCUCGAGGGCCCGAGGCGCGCCGUCCUUCUCCUUCCUCCCGCGCCGCCCGCGCCCUGGUGCGUCGCCGCCUCCGCCGCCGAUUUCAACGGGCCGCCGCCGCCAUCNNNNNNNNNNNNNNNNNNNNNNNNNNNNNNNNNNNNNNNNNNNNNNNNNNNNNNNNNNNNNNNNNNNNNNNNNNNNNNNNNNNNNNNNNNNNNNNNNNNNNNNNNNNNNNNNNNNNNNNNNNNNNNNNNNNNNNNNNNNNNNNNNNNNNNNNNNNNNNNNNNNNNNNNNNNNNNNNNNNNNNNNNNNNNNNNNNNNNNNNNNNNNNNNNNNNNNNNNNNNNNNNNNNNNNNNNNNNNNNNNNNNNNNNNNNNNNNNNNNNNNNNNNNNNNNNNNNNNNNNNNNNNNNNNNNNNNNNNNNNNNNNNNNNNNNNNNNNNNNNNNNNNNNNNNNNNNNNNNNNNNNNNNNNNNNNNNNNNNNNNNNNNNNNNNNNNNNNNNNNNNNNNNNNNNNNNNNNNNNNNNNNNNNNNNNNNNNNNNNNNNNNNNNNNNNNNNNNNNNNNNNCGCCGGUCCUCCUCGCCGGCCUCCGCAGCUCCGGCGAUCGCCGGCCGUCAAGUCCACCUCCGGCCGCCUCCCUCUUCUCUCUGGUGAACAGUGUGCUCCGGUGAACCUCGGGAUCCGCGCCCGACCAGAUCUGGAUCUAGAGACAGUUGACUUUUCCCCCAAAAUGCUAGCUAAUUUGCAUACUUUGACAUGCCAUAACUCUGCAUCCGUAGCUCCGAUUCGUGCGUGUUCCUCUCGACGAGUACAACAUUUCAUAUCAUUGCAUCAUUUUCAUUUGAGCUCAUCUUGAUGCCCGAAAUGCUGUUGGAAGAGGGCUACGUGAGGAAUAUUUCAGAUCUGUUUCAGCAAAUGGCCUUUUGUCAUUUUUGCCAUGAUUAAUGUGUGCAUGCUAUGAUCCUGAGCUCUACAUGUGUUUUGUAGAAUGCCAUGUCAUCUUUACAGAGGUGUAUGCCAUGUAUUUUUGUGAUAUUUGUGGUGACUAGCACAAGCAUGCAAAGUAGCCUACUCGUUGAUGCUGAUUUCAGGGACUUAGAAUUUCACUAAGUCCUUGUCCUGAUUUUGUUUUUAUGCCAUAUGUUCAUGUUGUUUCCUCGUGAUCCGUGCCUCUUUUGAGGAUGAUCAGUAAGGAUGUUUUGUUAACAUUGUGGUGCUCUAUCCAUCCAUGUCUUUGUUUGCAAUUAUGGAGCACCCUAACUUGAGUCAAUCGAGCUCUACUUUUCCUAUAAAAUGAUCCUGGCAGAUUGUUGACAUGUUUAGCGAUUUUGCCGAGGAUGUUGCUAUUGAUCCAUGUGUGCUAUGUUGUUGUUUUUGCCAUGUAUAGCUUCUAUGCCAUGUCUUCUUGAUGGGUGUAUGCUUAGUUUGUCAUGCCAUGCUAUGUAGUGAGUGCAUCGAGCUCGUAAACUUGCCUACUUGUUAAUCUGUUUGCAUGCUCCGGUUUUUCACAAAGUCUGAAUCUCUUUGUGUUUUUGCUAUGUUCACAUGCUUGCAAUUGUAUUUUUUGAUCCCUUUUGGCUCAAGGUCACUAAGGGACUUUUGUUAUAUGCUUAGAGUAGCUUCAUGCCAUGCCUUUCUUUGCCAUGGUAUGUUCCUGUAGCAUGUAGUUUUCAUGCUCUAAAGUGUGCUUCCUGAUGAUAAAUUCCAGGCUUGUGUUAAUUUCACUAAGUCUGAAACCAGUAAUCUUUUGCACUUUUGCCAUGCUUGUUUGAACCUGUUAAUGAGUGAAUUAGCCGUAGCUCAGUGUUCAUCUUUUGUCAAGCUUCAUGAGUGGAUCCCUGCCAUGUAUUUUGUUGUCAUGUUUGAGUGCUGUAGCAUAUUUAUCUUGUUGCAUUUAGAUGGUUACUUGCUGAUUACCGCAGACCGGUGCCAUAUUUGUUUUGCUUGCCAUUUCCAAACCGUGCAUCCGAUUCCGGUGAUCUUUAUAUCGAUUUCGACCGAAAUCAUCUCACCUUUCCAGUGGCACUCUUGGUUUUCCAAGUUGAGGCCAGGUUCAAUCAUUCCUUUGCAAAUCUUGCAUAUGCAUCACAUAUCGCAUCCCGCAUACCAUGUUUGCAUCAUGUUGCUUGAGCAUUGCACGUCGUUGAUUGUGUUCCUUUUGCUUGUUGUUCUUGUUUGGGUAGAGCCGGGAGACGAGUUCGUGUACGAGGAGCCCGUUGAGUUCGCUUACGAGGAUCAAGGCAACUCUGAGAACUUUGCAGGCAAGAUGACCAUACCCUCGAAAUCACUUCUAUCUUUGCUUGCUAGAUGCUCGCUCUUUUGCUAUGCCUAUGCUAUGAUACCUACCACUUGCUUAUCAUGCCUCCCAAAUUGCCAUGUCAAACCUCUAACCCACCAUGUCCUAGCAAACCGUUGUUUGGCUAUGUUACCGCUUUGCUCAGCUCCUCUUAUAGCGUUGCUAGUUGCAGGUGAAGAUUGGAGAUCGUUCCUUGUUGGAACAUGUUUAUUGUUGGGAUAUCACCAUAUUAUCUUGUUUAUCUUAAUGCACCUAUAUACUUGGUAAAGGGUGGAAGGCUCGGCCUUAUGCCUAGUGUUUUGUUCCACUCUUGCCUCCCUAGUUUUCCGUCAUAUCGGUGUUAUGUUCCCGGAUUUUGCGUUCCUUACACGGUUGGGUUAUAAUGGGAACCCCUUGACAGUUCGCCUUGAAUAAAACUCCUCCAGCAAUGCCCAACCUUGGUUUUACCAUUUGCCACCUAGCCUCUUUUUCCCUUGGGUUUCCGGAGCCCAAGGGUCAUCUUUAUUAAACCCCCCUGGGCCAGUGCUCCUCUGAGUGUUGGUCCGACCGAGUAGACUGCGGGGCCACCUCGGGGCAACUUGAGGGUUGGUUUUACUCCUAGGAUGUCUCAUCUGAGUGUGCCCUGAGAACGAGAUAUGUGCAGCUCCUAUCGGGAUUUGUCGGCACAUUUGGGUGGUGUUGCUGGACUUGUUUUACCAUUGUCGAGGAUGUCUUGUAACCGGGAUGCCGAGUCUGAUCUGAUUGUCUUGGGAGAAGGAAUAUCCUUCGUUGACCGUGAGAGCUUGUGAUGGGCUAAGUUGGGACUCCCCUGCAGGGAUUUGAACUUUCGAAAGCCGUGCCCGCGGUUAUGGGCAGAUGGGAAUUUCUUAAUAUCCGGUUGUAGAUAACAUGAAACUUAACUUAAUUAAAAUGCAUCAACUGUGUGUGUAACCGUGAUGGUCUCUUCUCGGCGGAGUCCGGGAAGUGAACACGGUGUUGGAGUAAUGCUUGACGUGGGUUGUUCUAGGAUCACUUCUUGAUCAUAGUUGUUCGACCAUGCUUUUGCCUUCUCUUCUCGCUCUCUUUUGCGAAUAUGUUAGCCACCAUAUAUGCUAGUCGCUUGCUGCAGCUCCACAUCAUACCUUUACCUUACCUAUAAGCUUAAAUAGUCUUGAUCGCGAGGGUGUGAGAUUGUUGAGUCCCCGUGACUCACAAAUUCCUUCCUAAACCAGAUGCAGGGACCGAUGAUACCGCUCCAGACGAUGCGCUUGAGCUCAAGUGGGAGUUCGAUGAAGACUCUCGUCGUUACUAUGUGUCUUUCCCAGAUGAUCAGUAGUGGUGCCCAGUUGGGGCGAUCGGGGACUUUGUCGCAUUUGGGGGUUGAUCUUUAUUUUGGUACCAUAGUCGGACCCUGAGUGUAUUGGAUGAAUGUAAUGACUUAAUUAUGUAUUUGUGUGACGUGGCGAGUGUAAGCCAACUAUGUACCUUUUCCCCUUUAUUUAUUACAUGGGAUGUUGUGAAGAUUACCUCACUUGCGACAUUGCUUUCAAUGCGGUUAUGCCUCUAAGUCGUGCUUCGACACGUAGGAGAUAUAGCCGCAUCGAGGGCGUUACAGCUCUUUUGUGGUACCUCAAGUAGCAUACGGCCACAUUAUUUCUGCACAAGGUGUUUCCACGGAUCUAUGGAAAAUUCAGGAUGUUUUAAAUUGGAAAGAGAUAGAUAAUGACACUAAGCUCGGAGGAUUUCUAGAACUUACUGGUUAUUAUAGAAUAUUUGAUAAUGAUUAUGGAAAUAUUUGUAGACCUUUGCAUGAUAUACUCAAGAAAGAUGCAUUCAAGUGGGGACCGGAGCAAGCUACAACUUUUAAAAACCUACAAUAGAUCAUGACAAAAUGCCCAGUUCUAGGUGUGCCAAAUUUUUAGCAGCCUUUUACAGCGAAAGCAGAUGCUUGCGCCACUAGAACGAGAGCACUAUUAAUGUAGGAUGGGAAACUUAUUGCUUACAUGUCAAAUACACUAGGCUAAAGCAGCAACUCGGUGAAUUUAUGAAAAGGAAUCUCUAGCUAUACUAGAGGCCCUAAAGAAAUGGAGAUACUGCUUGUUAGGAAAUCCUUUUAUCAUUAAAACUAAUCAAUAUUCUCUACAAUACAUGACCACUCACAUAUUUCCAGUAGGAAUUCAACAUAAAUUACUCCUUAAACUCUUAGAAUUCAAUUGUAAAUUGAAUAUAAGAAAGUCAAAGAAAUUUUGGUGGAAGAUGCUUUAUUGAGAAAAGAAUAAGCUAAGUUAGAGCAUUGUCAUAACAUUACCAUGGUUGUGCCUACAUGGACCGAAGAUGUUCAUAAAAGUUAUGUAGCUAUUCAUGAUAGUUCCAAACUUCUCCAGAAAGUAGGUACUGAUGUAAAACCAGAAGGAAAAUUAUCUCUCUCUAAUGACCUUAUUAAGGACAAGAACAUGAUUUAUGUGGGAGCCUCUCACAACUUCAAAGACAGUUUACUAAAUACAUCCCACACUUUUGGACUAGGUGGUCACAUUGGAGUUAAGGCUACUUAUCAUAGAAUCAGGGAAGUUUCCUAUUGGCCUAUCUCAAGAAAUCAGUGGAAGAAUUUCCAGUCAAUGCCCCAUAUGUAAUUAAAAAAAGUGGAACGUAUUAAUCCUCCUGGUAUACUACAACCUCUUCAUGUACCUGAUAUGACAUGGACACACAUCACCUUGGGAAAUUCUGGUGAUUCUGGUGAUUGUGGACAGAUUAAGUAUGCUCACCUCAUAUCUUUAGCACAUCCAUACACUAUGCAAACAAUCUUUGAGGUACUUAUGGACAAUGUGAUUAAACAACAUGGAUUGCCUAUAGUUAUUGUGUAUGAAAGAGAUAGCAUAUUCACCAGGAAUUUAUACCAAGAACUUCUCAAUGCUUUUGAUGUGGAGAUUAGGUUCAGUACUGCUUCACACCCUCAAACAGAUGGGGAGACAGAAUGAGUGGAUCAAUGUAUAGAAGCUCCAAGGCAAAUGGUGUUUAAAACCCUAAAUAAUGGAUGAAAUUGCUUCCACUUGCAAAUCUCUGGUACAACACCUCUUAUCAUUCAUACUUAAAGCUCACUCCCUUUGAAGCAAUGUAUGCUUACAAACCACCACAAAUUUGUGAAUUCUUCCUUACAAGCCCAUUGUCACCUAAAGCUAGAAUGACAGUUUCUAAGAUAGAAAAGAUGACGCAGCAGCUCAAAACUAACUUGGAACAGGCCUAAAGUAGAAUAAAAAACUUUGUAGACAGAAAAAGAACAUAAAUAAGUUUGGAAAUAGGAGAUACAGUGUAGUACUUGGUAAUACGACCCUAUAGACAAAAUGCUUCAGGACUUAGAGGGUCAUUGAAAUUGAGAUCUAAAUUCUAUGGUCCUUACAAAGUGAUUGAACGAAUUGGCUAUGUUCCCUACAUGUUACAACUACCAACAUGAUUUGCCAUCCAUCCAGUGUUCCAUGUGAGUUAACUGAAGAAACAUGUGGGACAUCAGAUCAUUCCUCUUCCUCAAGCCCCCUUGCUCAUGCACUCACAUUUGAAGGGCAUAUCAAGACCAUUCCAGUGGAUGUGUUGGACAGACGAAUCAUUCAACGUGAUAAAACACAUGUGGGUCAACGUCUAGACCAUUCACAAAGUCUGGCACCGGAUAAUGUAACUUGGGAACACGCGGCUUUUCUCAAUUUAACAUUUCCAAGGCAUAAACUUUUGUGCCUCAAGGACAAGGCACAACUCAUGGUGGCGGCAUUGUUAGGACCCAAUCCUGCCCUUGCUAUACCGAAGAAGACAGAAGCUUGCGACGCAAGUGAAAUGGUCCACUCGGAUGACCAUGUCGUUACGUUACUGCCAAUUCACCCUAAACACCACUGCUUUAAACACUCCAACCGAGACGAAGCGUGCUACAUCAGAUCUCAUUGCUGCUCAAUGGCGUGGUAAAAAAAACUAAUCUAAACUACUAGUCAGAGCUGAGACAUCGUGUUCUCGUCCUCGUCACUGGUUGUCAGAGUAGUAAACCGAGGAGAGACCAACGGAGCUUAGAGGGAACGACUUCUUUGCCCUAGCUAUUGCUUUCAAGAAGAUUUCUUUUUGAGGGGUUUGCUUUCGAGGAGCCGGGGAGGGGGGAAAAUGUCGGUCGGAACAUAGCCCGACUUGACCAGUGAGCUUCGGGUUCGGCACGUCGGGCUUGGUUGGGCAUGUCAAGGUCGAGUUUGACACAUUGUAUGUGUUGAAAAGAUUUUAGUCGCCUUGUUUUUACUAGAAGAUUGUUCGCUGUUUUGCCGGAGUUUGAAGCCUGCGCUGAAGGCCAACGUUCAGGACGAGUGCUUGGAAUCUUUGCAACAUGCGACAUGUUGGCAUGAUGCAUGGAAUGGAACAAAACCGAGUAGCUUGCGGCACGUUGAAAGAAGCCAGAUCGCGUCCAAACUUGACCCACGGCGUCAUUCUGUAGAGGAAUCCAGGAAUUCCAGAUCGGUGGGCACGGCUGCUGGCAGACGCGGCCCAUCCGCCCACAUGGGAGGGAUGGAUGGAUGGAGUGGGGAGGAGGCUCGCCGUCUCUCGGCCUGGACCGGGGCUCUCGUGUCGUGCGACGGCGGUCGGCGGGCCUUUUGAUGGGAGACAGUUUCCCAGAAACAUCGGCCGGACCCAGCGCCAAAGGAAGGCGAUCGUGGUUACUAAUGGAGGAGCGCUACCCCAUUGACCGCGCGGUUAAUAAUGACGACUGACGUACAUCGACAUGUGCAGGCGUACACACCCAACCCGGUCCCGGUCCCCCUCCUCUCGCCGCCCCUCUUUUUGCUGCGCUUUUCCCACGAGCGCAGCGGCAGCAGCAGCAGAAAAGGCCAAAUCCACACUCCCGCACCCAUCACUCCCACUCCCCUCCACUGCUUGCUCUGCUUCUUGCUCUCCAAUCUCCCUCCCGCACGCUCCGCCCGGCCCCCAGAUCACCGCCCGCCCCCGUUUCCCCCGAAUCCAUCCACCCGCCGAGCGUCGGAGCAGAAGGAGGCGGAAUGGGCGGCCCGCUGGGCGCCAUCAUCGGCCGCUACCCCUCGGCCGCCGCCGCCGGCGGCCCCGGGGGAGACGACGCCGACCACCCGGGCGGCGGCGGCGGGGGCACGGCCAGCCUGGGCAUUAUCCGGCACGACCGCCGCUGCCGCGACCUGGCCUUCCUCGUCCUCUUCGCCGCCUUCUGGGUCGCCAUGAUCGUCAACUCCAGCUUCGCCUUCAACCAGGGCAACCCGCUCAGGUCCGUCCGUCCGUCACCCCCAGAUUCAUCGCCUCUUGCCUCUCCUCCGUGCAGAUCUCCGUCUGCGCCCCCUGUUUUACAGUAUUUUAUUUUUUUGGUGCGCAAUUAAUAAUUAGCAGUAACAAAUCAGGGGGAGGGGAAAGAAACGCUUGCUUGCUUGCUUGCUCCUGUUGCUUUCGCUGACUAUCUGCUCCAGGAUUUACUAAUAGCAGUACUGAUUACUGAAUGAAUUGAUGAAUGAGUCUUGCUGACCGUGGAACGCUUGCUUGCUCGCUCCUGUUGCUUUCGGUGAUGGCUAGCUGCUGCUCUAGAACCCUAGUACUAGUACUGACUGACUCAUUGAAAUGGAACUGCAGCUCCGAGGGAGGCUGCUAUGGCCAUGCCAGCCGUGCUGCUUCUGCUGCUAGUGCCAAACCGAAUCUGGUUCUUGCUAGGGCCUGCCAGCCGAUUUUUUAGGCUAAACCCCCAAAAGAUGGAGGCCGCCUUUGCUUUCCGGCCUUUGGUGGCCCUAGGAAUUGCAUCCCCUCCCUAAAACCCUCUUCAAAGGCUUUUUUGUGCUCUGCUCUCGGUGCUCAGUGGCCUGAAAGCAGAUGACACUUUCUCUGCCCCGCCCCUACACACAUAUAUAUAUGCUCUUGCUAACCACAGUGCAAUGUACCACUGACUUUUGGGGUGGAAUUUAUUCAGUCUUGUAAAACUUUCUGAGGAUCAUUAUUGCAUUUUGUACAUAGCUAUCGUUUUGCUACUACUACCGUUCUGCAAUUAUUUGAAGCAUGUACAUGGGGUUUUGUUGGCCAUCCCAUCAUUUCGGCGAGUUAUUUUUAAGUGGUACAACUUUACCUUCUGCUUUCUUUUGUUCGUUGAUGCUGAUAUCCCUGUAGUUCCUCUUGAGUGCCAUCUAGUUGUAGAUUAGUUUAAAAGACUUGGCCGGAAGCACAAUUCUCUGUUAAAUGGCAUUUUGUCAACCAGGAAUGUUCUUGCUAUUACCAACCUCAGCAUGUAGCUUAAAUGGGCAGGAUGAGAAUGACAUCUUGUUCUUGUCCGUGCAGGCUGACAUACGAGCUGGACUACAAAGGGAACGUCUGUGGCGACAGGCACGGCAACCCGGACGUGCACGAGCUCGAGGUCAGGUACUGGUUGGACCCGAACCAGGUGUACCAAAGUGGAGUCAAGGGCAGCAAGGCUAACCUGGCCGACGCCAAGGCCAUCUGCCUCAUGGAGUGCCCCACUCCGGCACCGGAUGGCCUAAACUUUGUCUGUGAUUACCCGGAAGGGGAUGUCAGGCUCUCAGUUGAUGACUGGAUCAAUAGGGACUAUAACUACUUCGAUGUUCUAACACCUGAUAUGAGGAACAGCUCCCUUCAGCUUCAGGGCCCUUGCUACCCUGUCAUAUUCCCUAGUGUAAACGGUAAGCCGGUAAUCAAGCAUAGAGUAAAAGUACAGCUCGAGUUAGUCAACUAGUACAAUGAGAUGACUAAUUCAAAAUAUUCUUAUUCUUUCAGUCUAUUGGAGCUGCCAAUAUAUCGCCCGGGCAUCCAAUGUUUCUUUGACGCACUGGCAACAGAUGGGUGGUGUAAACAUUGAACAAAAUAUGCUUAUAGAUAAGACAAUCCACAAGGCCAUCGAUUCCAGAUCUGCAGUCCUCAAGGUUCUUAAACUUCCAGGGGCUGAAUCACUCUCUCUUCUUUGUUAUCUGCUUAAUACUGAAAUUAAAUGACAAACUGUCCUCAGGACUCCCACAGUUCAUCCUGAAUGUGCAUUAAACUGCAACUGUAAUUUUAUUCUUCACUAAAAAGAAUUUGCCUGCAGUGUGAUUGUCCUGAUAGCAGUUAGUACUUGAUAGUGGCUAUUUAGACCGAGUCUCCACAACAUCAUCACUAAUUUUGUUUUAUUUUUAAAAUAAUUUCCUGAUGCGACUGAUAUGUGUAGCAUCUGAGACCCAGUACUAAUUGCAUUUCUUCUAUUUGCAGAGAUAUGUUGCGGACAUUGGGAAGUCUUGGCCUGUCCUAAUCGUGUGUGGUGCACUCCUUCCUCUUUUCUUGUCAGUGAUCUGGUUGCUCAUGAUUCGUUAUUUUGUUGCUGCAAUGACAUGGAUAACAGUAGUGCUCUUCAAUGCCCUUAUAGUAUCUGUUACCAUGUUUUGUUACAUCAAAGGUACAUAUCACUAGUGCCAUUUGCCGUGUUAUGUCUGAUGCAUGUCACAUUAUUCCUAACUGGCUACGUUAUAUAUUCAGCUGGCUGGCUCGGAAAUGAUCCCUUAACGGUUGUUAUUGGUGAAAGUGAUCCAUACGUCCACAUAAGCGGGCGGGUAAGUGAACUCAAUUGAGUCAACUUUUUACAAGGUCAAGCUGCUUGUUAUCUGAUCAUUUACCUUCUUACCAGGAAAUAACCCAUCUUCAUGUUGCCACAGUGCUGAUGACAGUAAUAAUGAUCAUUGCUUUUCUGUCCUCAAUAGCUAUUGUCCGGCGUAUACUGAUAGCCACACCUGUCCUGAAGGUAAGCAGCUCACUGCAUACGCAAAGGCGAUUGCUUGGUUGCAAAAGCACGAUGCAUCAACGCUACCUCUAUUGUGAUAUACCUAAUAAUUUCUGUGCAUUAACCUCGAAAAUUUAUUUUCAGGUUGCUGCAAAGGUCAUUGGUGAAGUUCAGGCACUGAUAGUUUUCCCAGUUGUGCCGUACUUUAUCCUCGCUAUCUUUUAUAUGUUCUGGUUUUCUGCCACACUCCACCUCUUCAGCUCUGGUCAAGUUGUCCGAAAUGACUGCAGUACAGACUGUUGCUCAUAUGAUCUGAAGUUGGGCAAAGUGAACUGUGACAACUGUUGUGGGUACAGCAUCCACUACACCCCUCAUAUCGGCAUUGCCAUUCUUUUCCAUUUAUUUGGAUGCUACUGGGCUACUCAAUUCUUCAUGGCAUGCUCUGCAACUGUGGUUGCUGGAUCAGUUGCUUCUUACUACUGGGCGCGUGGCGAAAUAUCUGUAAGUACAGCACAAAAGCAUCAGAACUUUAACUAUUUUUAUUAAUUUUGUGCUCUUUAAUUUACUCCAUACUUUUGCAUUCACCAUCUACUGAGAAUUGAAGCCAUUCUGGUGCAGCAUGAUAUACCGUUUUUCAGCGUCGUCUCUUCGCUCAAGCGGCUGAUGCGUUACAACCUUGGAUCUGCUGCCAUAGGCUCGCUUGUUGUGUCUGCUGUUGAGUGGGUGCGGUUUAUACUAGAAUGCCUUCGCCGCAAGCUGAAGCUGGUCGGUUCUGCUGGGGAGAGCUGCUUUGGGAAAGUGUCAUCGUCCUCGUCUCAAUGCUGCCGGGGCUGCAUAGACUGGACCCUCAUGUCUGUAAAUCGAAACGCCUACAUAAUGGUAAGCAUGCACAUUUUUGUUUUAUUACUGAUUGUUAACUGAAGUUGUAUGGUGUGUACCAUUUGGGGCUGGUCCCCCCCUCAUUUGACCUGAUAGUUAGUUCUGAAUUCCUUUUGACUGUCUAUCAUUUGUGAGGUGCAACUUUUGAACUGACAAGGCUUCUCUUUGCUGUUUUGCAGAUUGCCAUCACGGGGAAAGGGUUCUUCAAAGCUUCGGUGCUCGCGACCGGCCUUAUAAUGAACAACAUACUGCGCAUCGGGAAGGUCAACGUGAUCGGGGACGUGAUCCUGUUCCUGGGGAAGCUGUGCGUGAGCCUGUUCUGCGCGCUCUUCGCGUUCCUCAUGCUGGACACCCACAAGUACAAGUCGGCGCACAACAAGAUAUCGUCGCCGCUGGUCCCAGUGCUGGUGAGAGCAUUUCCUGCCCCUGCGAGCGUACAUCUCGAACCCCGGCAUUAUGUUUUGUUUCCAUCACUAAGACUUGUGAUGGUGGUGGUGGUGUAUAUAGGUGACGUGGGGCCUGGGCUAUACGGUGGCGAAGCUGUUCUUCGCGGUGGUGGAGAUGUCCAUCGACACCAUCAUCCUGUCCUUCUGCCAGGACGCGGAGGAGCACCAGGGGACGGCGCAGUACGCGCCGCCUCUCCUCAUGGAGACGCUGGACGAGCAGGGCGAGCUGCAGAGACUCACUCAAGGGCCCUGAAUCUCUCUCCCUCUCCCUCGUUUCUUUUUUCUUUUUCUUUUUUUGCGAAUACCCUCUCCCUCGUUUCUUUAAUUCGUCUUAGAGCUAGAGGUAGACUGGUGGUAAUUUAGUACUGUAGAAGCCUGAUGGAUCGAGAUUUCUGUAAAAGUGAUGAUCUUGGUUGGCUGGCUGGCUGCCUCCUGUACGUGUUGUUCAGCCUCAGCUUCAGCUCCCAGUAUGUACGUGUCUGAUGUGUCGGCCCUGAUUGGCAAGUGUUGCGUACGAGUAUGAAGAGC